CAGGUUCUUCGUCGUUCCAAUCAAACCAGGAUGAAUCACUUUGUAUGAAGCUUGAUUUUGAUACAUAAAAUAGUGGAGAAACACCAGGAAGUUGAAUAAAUCUCAUAGGAGUUGGGAUGAAGAAGUUAUCCCACUUUCUAAUCAGGUGAUUCCAGUUUCCCAGUUUGGGAAUAGGACAGCUUCUCCGUCGUUCCAAUCAAACCAGGAUGAAUCACUUUGUAAGAAGCUUGAUUUGGAUAUAUAAAGUGUUGGAGAAUCACCAGGAAGUUGAAUAAAUCUCAUAGGAGUUGGGAUGAAGAAGUUAUCCCACUUUCAAAUCAGGUNNNNNNNNNNNNNNNNNNNNNNNNNNNCCCAGGUGAUUCCAGUUUCCCAGUUUUAUCCCACUUUCAAAUCAGGUGAUUCCAGUUUCCCAGUUUUGGAAUAGGACAGCUUCUUCGUCAAUCCAAUCAAACCAGGAUGAAUCACUUUGUAAGAAGCUGUAUUUGGAUACAUAAAAUGGUGGGGAAACACCAGGAAGUUGAAUAAAUCUCAUAGGAGUUGGGAUUAAGAAGUUAUCCCACUUUAAAAUCAGGUGAUUCCAGUUUCCCAGUUUGGGAAUAGGACAGCUUCUUCGUCGUUCCAAUCAAACCAGGAUGAAUCACUUUGUAAGAAGCUUGAUUUGGAUACAUAAAGUGUUGGAGAAUCACCAGGAAGUUGAAUAAAUCUCAUAGGAGUUGGGAUGAAGAAGUUAUUCCACUUUCAAAUUAGGUGAUUCCAGUUUCCCAGUUUGGGAAUAGGACAGCUUCUUCGUCGUUCCAAUCAAACCAUGAUGAAUCACUUUGUAAGAAGCUUGAUUUUGAUACAUAAAAUGGUGGAGAAACACCAGGAAGUUGAAUAAAUCUCAUAGGAGUUGGGAUGAAGAAGUUAUCCCACUUUCUAAUCAGGUGAUUCCAGUUUUCCAGUUUGGGAAUAGGACAGGUUCUUCGUCGUUCCAAUCAAACCAGGAUGAAUCACUUUGUAAGAAGCUGUAUUUGGAUACAUAAAGUGUUGGAGAAACACCAGGAAGUUGAAUAAAUCUCAUAGGAGUUGGGAUGAAGAAGUUAUCCCACUUUCAAAUCAGGUGAUUCCAGUUUCCCAGUUUGGGAAUAGGACAGCUUCUUCGUCAAUCCAAUCAAACCAGGAUGAAUCACUUUGUAAGUAUACACUUUUGUGUAUUAGAGCAUGAUUCAACCAAUCAGGGAUAAUCAGAUGAAAAGAUUAAAGAGAUUAAGAGAUUCUAGUGAGAGAAUAAAGAGAGAGAGACUCAAAACUCCAUUAAUUAAUAACUGAUGAGGUUUACAAGUAUUAAUAGAGAGAGCAACAAGGAAAUUUGAAAUGGUUAAGCAUGUGUAGUCAAAGGACAGGCUGGAACUCCUUUUGAAUCACUUGGCUGUGCUUUCUCACAUGCUUGCACUAGUAUAAAGGUAACUUCUCCUUUCCAGCAUCAUACAGGCUGUCAAAGUGAUCCCUUGUCUUUCCUUAACCUCACUUAUCCUCUUUGGUCGAGUUUCCUCUCUUCUCUUCACUAAGUUACCUUCUCAUCCCAUCAGAUAACUUCCCCAAGUAGUUACUGUGGUUAAAAUAAAGUUACCACAGUAAAACUCUAAAGUUACUGUCUCAGCCUCCUUGGUCUUCAUCUCAAUACUCCCCCUCAAGCUUGACCAUGUAGAACAAGUCAAGCUUGGAAACCAUGAAGACCUCCCUCGUUAAAAACCUCACCAAGUAAAACCCAUUGGGAUAAAACCUUGAUGAGGGAAAAAGAGUGGAGACUCCAUGGUUAAGGGGCUCAGCUCCUAGGAGUCAGAUCAAUGAGUCCAAGCCUUGACAGUAUGGACUCCAUUGUCUUCAAUCUCGCUGCCUUAGUAAACACAUCUGCAAGCUGAUCUUCACUUCUUGUAUAACAUGGCAGAAUCACUCCUAAGAUGAUCAUCUGCCUCACCUUAUGACAAUCCACCUCUAUGUGCUUUGUUCUCUCAUGAAACACUGAAUUGGAGGCAAUGUGGAUAGCUGCUUGAUUGUCACAAUGCAUUGUCAUAGGUGUGGCCUGCUCGAUCUCCAAGUGCUUCAAGAUCCCCUUGAUCCACACCAACUCAUUUGUAAGCUUCAACAUAGCUCUAUACUCAGCUUCAGCACUUGAACAGGAGAUGACCUUCUGCUUCUUACUCUUCCAAGUAACCAGAUUCCCUCCAAUGAAUGUACAAUACCCAGUAGUUGAUCUACUGUCCACUCUAUCUCCUGCCCAAUCAGCAUCACAAUACCCAUCCACUUCUGUACUGCCAUUGCAACCCAUCCAAACUCCUUGUCCAUGUGAGCCACUCAAAUACCUCAGUAUCCUAUCAACCAUCUUCCAGUGAUGUACCUUUGGCGCCUGCAUAUGUUGGCUCACUUGAUUCACAGCAAAGCAUAUAUCAGGUCUGGUGAUAGUCAAGUAGAUCAGCUUACCCACCAUCCUCCUAUACAGCUUAGCAUCCUCAAACAACUGGUUCUCUUCAACCUCCCCCUCACGCAAGACCUUAUACCCUUCCUCAAGAGGUGUCUUAGCUAUCUUCCCUCCAAGCACAUCAGUCUCCUUCAGCAUAUCCAUAGUAUACUUCCUUUGAGACAUAAACAAACCCUCCUUAGAUCUGCAUAUCUCAAUCCCCAAAAAAUACUUCAUCUCUCCCAAGUCUUUAAUAUCAAACACAGACUUGAGAAACUCUUUGGUGGCUUUAAUCCCAGCCUUAUCACUCCCUGUGAUAAUCAAAUCAUCCACAUACACCAAAAUCACUAUGAUCCCUGAUGGUCCAACCAGUGUGAAGAGUGUAUGAUCUAGUUCAGACUUCCUGAACCCUCUCCCAUUGAGAGUUGUACUAAGCUUUCUGUACCAAGCUCUAGGAGACUGCUUCAGCCCAUAUAUAGCCUUCUUCAAUCUCAAAACAUUCCCUGGCUUUACUAGAUGCUCAAGACCAGGAGGUGGAUGCAUGUAUACUUCAUCUUCAAGUUCACCUUGCAAGAAGGCAUUCUUCACAUCCAUUUGCCACAAAUCCCACUCCAAGUUUGUUGCAAUAGAUAACACAAUUCGAAUUGUGUGAAGCUUGGCCACUGGUGCAAAAGUAUCAAUGUAAUCUUCCCCAUAAGUCUGUGUAAAUCCUCUUGCAACCAGCCUAGUCUUGCGCCUAUCUAUCUCCCCAUUUGCAAGGUACUUGAUGGUGAAGAUCCAUCUGCUUGAAACUGCCUUCUUCCCUUUAGGUAACUCACUCUCAUACCAAGUAUCAUUCCUGAUCAUUGCAUCCCUUUCAUCUCCUACUGAAUCUCUCCAAACCUUGUGCUUCAUAGCUUCUUCAUAAGAUCUUGGUAUCUCAUUCUCAUCCAAGUUACACAUAAACACCAUGUGCUCUUCUGGAUAUUCUGCAAAGGAACACACGGCUUGAGAGGGAUGCUCCACAGCCUGGGCAUUGUAGUACACUCUCGUGUUUACCCAGUUGGAAGGAUCCCUCCUUAUCCUUGUGCUCCUCCGCAAGGUCUCAACCUGUUCUUCAGCCUGAACAUUCUCUUGUGCUUCCUCUCUUAAACCAGUAGGUUCUCCCUGCUCAUUUCCACCUGACUGAGCUUCACUCUCUACUUCAUGUGUCUCCUCCUGAUCAUGCUGACCUGAAUCCUCUUGGUUAUGCUCCUGCUCCCCUGAUUCAGAUCCAUUCCCCCUCUCAUGAUCAAGAGGGGUUGUUCCUCCAGCUUCUCCAGUUUGAUUAGAAGGUCCGGUUCUUCCUGGUUCCUGAUCUUGGGAUAAUCCUAUCCCUAGCCUCUCCAACAACACUCUCAAUGUUGUUGCCUUCUCUGAUGGAGCUCGGGACAGAUCCUCUAGGUCUACCCAUUUCUUCUCCUCAUAAUACCCUUUAGACUCAACAAACUUCACUUCUCUAGAUACCAUAACCCUCCUAGUUAUUGGAUCAUAACAUUUGUAGCCUUUCUGAGUGAUUGAAUACCCAAUGAACAUAGCUUUAGUACUCUUUGCUUCUAGCUUGUUCCUUCUUUCUCCGGGAAUCAUCACAUAACAUAAGCACCCAAAGACUCUCAAAUGAUCAAUGUGUGGCUUGGCCUUGUUCAAUACUUCAAAGGGAGACAGUUUCUUCAAGACACGGGUUGGCACUCUAUUGAUGAGAUAGCAAGCAGUCUGAACAGCAUCACUCCAAAACCUCUUAGGGACAUUCAUGUGGAACAUGAUUGAUCUCGCAACCUCCAUCAAAUGUCUGUUCUUCCUCUCAGCCACCCCAUUUUGUUGUGGUGUGUAAGGACAGCUAGUUUGUUGCACAAUCCCAUGCUUUGCAAGAUGACUCUUGAAAGCAUUGCUAGUGUAUUCUCCUCCAUUAUCAGACCUCAGAAUCCUCACAGUGGCAUUGUACUGAUUAGUAACAUAUGCUUGGAAGUUCAUGAAGGCUUCUAGGACUCUGUCUUUGGAGGGAAUCAUGGUGAUCCAUGUGUACUUGGACUUCUCAUCAAUGAAAGUCACAAAGUACUUAUGGCGGUCUCUAGACAUACAGGGAGCUGUCCACACGUCUGAAUGAGACUUCUCAUCAAUGAAAGUCACAAAGUACUUAUGGCUGUCUCUAGACAUACAGGGAGCUGUCCACACGUCUGAAUGCACCAGAUCAAAGCAAUUCUCAUAUCUGGUUUCUGAUGUUGGGAAGACAGUCCUACAGUGCUUUCCAAGUAUACAAGCUUCACACUCCAAGUGAUUGAACGCCAUACUUGGUAGAAUCAGUUCAAUUGCCUUGGCAUGAGGAUGUCCCAGCCUUGCAUGCCAUGUGAGAUUAUCACACCUAUCCGUUGUGCUGCUUAAACACACAGACUCCACAGGACUAGGCGCCUCAGUUGUUUGGAGAUGAUAGAGCUGAUGCUUGCUGUCUCCUCUGCCAAUAACCCUUCCAGUCUUCAAAUCCUGGAACUCAACUUCAUUUGGUCUGAAAACCACUUGACAAUCCAGAUCAACUGUAGCCUUCUUAACUGAGAUUAGAUUGGAUGUAAACUGAGGUAGGUAGAAGGCAGUGGAGUUCUUCUCAAACAGCUUGAGGUUUCCCACUCCUUCUAUUGGGAUCCUGGUACCAUUGGCUAUCAUGACACUCCCUGUUGCUGCUUUAACCUCACUGAUUAGUCUCUUGUCACUGAUCAUGUGGUGUGUUGCUCCAGAGUCAAUGAUGAUGGGUUUAGAUGUGGAUGCUUUGGCAGGAGCACCCAGACUCCGGGUCGUAGCCAAAGCAUACACAUGCUUAACCAACUCAUCCCAUUCCUUCUUUGUCACACACUCAUCUGCCCUCUUGGUAUCCAUUCCUCUCAUAUCCGCACUGUCUCCUACUGUCUCUCCCAUGUAAGCUGAGUAUGAACACUCUCCUAUAACCAUCUGCUGAAGUACAUCCUUGAUUCUAUUCAAGAUUACACUCAUCCUGUCACUUAAGUGCUCAGACUCGCUAUCCUUUCUCCACGCCCUUCUCUUCAUUAACCACUCCUUAGAAAGUUUUCUCAACCUUCCCCUCUUACAGCUUGUACCUCCCUUCCAUCUUUCUGGCUUCCUGUUCAUUUCCCACACAUCACAAGUAUAUUUAACAAGCUCACAUACCUCUUCCAUAAGGAAGCUGAAGAUCACAUCUUGCUUCCUCCUUUCUUGACAACAUCUCGGAUUUGAUGUGUGUGUCUUCACCACAUCUAGCUCCGACCAUACUUCUCUCAGCCUUCCCACAAGCUGAUAACACUCAUCCUUUCCUUGUCUCAAGCCGCGGAUCACCCCUCUGUCCUCAACGACUCUCACAAGCUUGGACUUGCCUAAAGUUGCUUCAAUCUCACUCUUUGUAGUGUCUCCUUGAACAACUUCAUUUCCCAGCUUCAGACCUCUUGUCUGACCUUCUUCAGUAGCCAUUUCCAUGAAAGGUUUCCCCUUUCCAUGACUACUCCAUAACCCACAGCUUUCCAAAGCUCUCUUUGCCCAUCUUGACCAAUCGCCAUCCCUCUCUUCUUCAAGCUCCAUGGUUGUACUAGAUCUGUGCUUCAUUUCCAUGUUGAGAUAGUUUGAAUCCAUCAGAAUAUCUCACACCACUCAGAUAAUAAAGACCAGAACUCAAGAACACCAAGAACACUCAAGAACCCUCAAGAACACUCAAGAACACCCAGAUUUUAUGAAAAACGAAAUCACACUCUCCCCUUUUUAGCAACCUGGCUCUGAUACCAAGUUUGUUGAAACAAAAGGUUAUUAUGAAGAAAAGGAGUGGGAAAAUCUGAAGGAUUUGUCUCAAGCUCCAUCUGAUAAGGCAACAAUACUGAGAGUGUUGUUGGAGAAGCUCGGGAUAGGGUUCAAGAACCCUCAAGAACACUCAAGAACACCCAGAUUUUAUGAAAAACGAAAUCACACUCUCCCCUUUUUAGCAACCUGGCUCUGAUACCAUAUACACUUUUGUGUAUUAGAGCAUGAUUCAACCAAUCAGGGAUAAUCAGAUGAAAAGAUUAAAGAGAUUAAGAGAUUCUAGUGAGAGAAUAAAGAGAGAGAGACUCAAAACUCCAUUAAUUAAUAACUGAUGAGGUUUACAAGUAUUAAUAGAGAGAGCAACAAGGAAAUUCGAAAUUGUUAAGCAUGUGUAGUCAAAGGACAGGCUGGAACUCCUUUUGAAUCACUUGGCUGUGCUUUCUCACAUGCUUGCACUAGUAUAAAGGUAACUUCUCCUUUCCAGCAUCAUACAGGCUGUCAAAGUGAUCCCUUAUCCUUCCUUAACCUCACUUAUCCUCUUUGGUCGAGUUUCCUCUCUUCUCUUCACUAAGUUACCUUCUCAUCCCAUCAGAUAACUUCCCCAAGUAGUUACUGUGGUUAAAAUAAAGUUACCACAGUAAAACUCUAAAGUUACUGUCUCAGCCUCCUUGGUCUUCAUCUCAAUAGGGUUAUCCCAGGAUCAGGAACCCGGAAGGAGAGAGCCUUCCAAUCAGACUGGUGGAGCUGGAAGAACACCUCCUCUUGAUCAUGAGAGGGGGAAUGGAACUGAAUCUGGUGAGCAAGAGCAAAACCAAGAGGAUUCAGGUCUUCAUGAUCAAGAUACAUCACAAGAAGUUGAGAACAAUGUUCAGUCUAGUGGAGAAGUGGAUGAGGUUCAGUCUAGUGGAGAAGUGGAUGAGGUUCAGUCUAGUAGAGAAGAACAAGUCGGACCAGCCGGUUCAGAAGAAGAGCAAGUGGAGCCAGCUAGUGUGCAAACUGAAGAUCAGGUUCAAGCUUUGAGGAGGAGCACAAGGAUAAAGAGGGAUCCUUCCAACUGGGUAAACACGAGAGUGUACUACAAUGCCCAGGCUGUGGAGCAUCCUUCUCAAGCCGUGUGUUCCUUUGCUGAGUUUCCAGAGGAGCAUUAUGCCUUUAUGAUUAGUCUGGAUGAGAGUUAUGUACCAAGGACUUAUGAAGAAGCUAUGUUAGACAAGGAAUGGAAAGAAUCAGUGGGAGCUGAAGCAGGUGCUAUGAUCAAAAAUGAUACAUGGUAUGAGAGUGAGCUGCCUAAGGGAAAGAAGGCUGUAUCUAGUAGAUGGAUCUUCACAAUCAAGUAUCUAGCAAAUGGACAGAUUGAUAGGAAGAAGACCAGAUUGGUUGCAAGAGGAUUUACACAGACCUAUGGAGAGGAUUACAUUGAUACCUUUGCACCAGUAGCUAAGCUGCACACAGUUCGGAUUGUGUUGUCCAUUGCAACAAACUUGGAGUGGGAUUUGUGGCAAAUGGAUGUGAAGAAUGCUUUCCUGCAAGGUGAACUUGAAGAUGAAGUAUACAUGCAUCCGCCUCCUGGUCUUGAGCAUCUAGUAAAGCCAGGGAAUGUUUUGAGGUUGAAGAAGGCAAUAUAUGGGCUGAAACAAUCACCUAGAGCUUGGUACAGGAAGCUGAGUACAACACUCAAUGGGAGAGGGUUUAGGAAGUCUGAAUUAGAUCACACUCUCUUCACCUUGACAGGACCUUCAGGGAUCAUUGUGAUACUGGUAUAUGUGGAUGAUUUGAUUAUCACAGGGAGUGAUAAGGCUGGGAUUAAAGCCACUAAAGAGUUCCUCAAGUCUGUGUUUGAUAUCAAAGACUUGGGAGAGAUGAAGUAUUUCUUGGGGAUUGAGAUAUGCAGAUCCAAGGAGGGUUUGUUUAUGUGUCAAAGGAAGUAUACAAUGGAUAUGCUGAAAGAGACUGAUGUACUUGGAGGAAAGGUAGCCAAGACACCUCUUGAAGAGGGGUAUAAGGUCUUACGUGAGGGGGAGGUUGAAGAGAACCAGCUGUUUGAGGAUGCUAAGCUGUAUAGGAAGAUGGUUGGCAAGCUAAUCUACUUGACCAUUACCAGGCCAGAUAUAUGCUUUGCUGUGAAUCAAGUGAGUCAACAUAUGCAGGCGCCAAAGGUCCAUCACUGGAAGAUGGUUGAUAGGAUACUAAGGUAUCUGAGUGGGACGGCUGGACAAGGAGUUUGGAUGGGCUGUAAUGGCAGUACAGAAGUGGUUGGGUAUUGUGAUGCUGAUUGGGCAGGAGAUAGAGUGGACAGGAGAUCAACUACUGGGUAUUGUACAUUCAUUGGAGGGAACUUGGUUACUUGGAAGAGUAAGAAGCAGAAGGUUAUCUCUUGUUCAAGUGCUGAAGCUGAGUAUAGAGCCAUGUUGAAGCUCACAAACGAGUUGGUGUGGAUCAAAGGGAUCUUGAAGCAUCUAGCAAUUGAGCAGAGUACUCCUAUGACUAUGCAUUGUGACAAUCAAGCAGCUAUCCACAUUGCCUCCAAUUCAGUGUUUCAUGAGAGAACAAAGCACAUAGAGGUGGAUUGUCAUAAGGUGAGGCAGAUGAUUAUCUUGGGAGUGAUUCUGCCAUGUUAUACAAGAAGUGAAGAUCAGCUUGCAGAUGUGUUUACCAAGGCAGCGAGAUUGAAGACAAUGGAGUCCAUACUAUCCAGGCUUGGACUCAUUGAUCUUACUCCCAGGAGCUGAGCCCCUUAACCAUGGAGUCUCCACUCUUUUUCCCUCAUCAAAGUUUUAUCCCAAUGGGUUUUCUUUGGUGAGGUUUUUAAUGAGGGAGGUCUUCAUGGUUUCCAAGCUUGACUUGUUCCACAUGGUCAAGCUUGAGGGGGAGUGUUGAGAAGAGGUGAUAAAGAGUGGGUACAUUGAUAGAGGAAGAGUAAUGGGGCAGUCAGUAACUUUGGAGAUUUACCACAGUAACUUUAGUUUUACUGUGGUAACUAAGGUAUAACUUUGGGAAGUUACCUUUCACCCAUUUGGAGAGUGAAGCACGUCCAAGGAGAGUCUGGAUAAGGAAGAAGCAUUCAUGAUAAGGUCUGGUCAUAGCUGGAAAGGUAAAACACCUUUACAGCCUGUCCAAGCAUGUGAGAACACCCAUUGGCUGCUUUUGGAUGGCUCUCCUUGACUCCACACGUUCCUGAUCUCCUCUGACCCUAUGAUUUCGAAUUGUAUCUUGUAUCACUCAUAUAAAGCCUUGUAAACCUCAUUGUUAAUAAUUAAUGGAGUUUUGAGUAUUCUCUCUUGUUCUUUAUUCUCUUAGUCUCUCAUUAAUCUCCUAAUCUCAUACAAACUACACAAAUCAUCUCUUGAUAUUCAUUCAUCACUCUACAUACACAAAAGUGUAUAUGGUAUCAGAGCCAGGUUGCGCAAAGGGGAGAGGGUGUAUGAUUAUGAUUUUCGAAAUCUGAGUUUCUUGAGGUGUUUUUGAGGUGUUCUUGGUGUUCUUGAUGUGUUCUUGGUGCUUUUUGGUGUGCUUGAGAUCGAAUUGAGUCUGUGGAGAGUUUCUGAUGGAUUCAAACGAGUUAAGCAUGGUGGAGGAGACAAGAUCAAGAAGUGAAGAGAAGAAAGAGAGAGAAAACGAGUGUGCUUGGUCAAGCUGGAUAAAGACAGCUUUUGAAAGCUGUGGGAUUUGGAGUAAUCAUGAAAAGGAAGAACCUUUAAAGGUGAGAGCUGCUGAGAAAGAUCAGACAGCAAGUUUGGAGGAGAUUCAAGUAAAGGUGGAACCUUUAAGGGAGGUAGCUGCUGAAGAAGGUCAGACAGCAAGGUUGGAGGAGAUUCAAGUAAAGGUGGAACCUUUAAAGGAGGUAGCUGCUGAAGAAGGUCAGACAGCAAGGUUGGAGGUUCAUGAAGCCAAGGGCGUGAUCUAUAGUCUAAGACAAGGGAAGAAUGAGUUGUAUCAGCUUGUGAGGAGGCUGAGAGAAGUAGAAUCAGAGUUGAGUAUGGUAAAAACUCAUACAGCAAGUCCGAGUUGGUGUCAAGGAAGGAGGAAGCAAGAUGUGAUCUUUGGCUUUCUUAUGGGAGAGUUAUGUAAGCUGGUUGAACACAUGUGUGAUGUGUGGGAGAUAAACAAGAAGCCAGAUAGAUGGAAGAGAGGUACAAGGUGCAAGAAGGGAAAGUUGAGAAAACUUUCUAAGAUGUGGGUCAUGAUGAGCAGAUUAUGGAGAAAGGAUAUCAAGGAGAGUAUGCAAGUAGGAGAAUGCUUGUACUCAGCUUACAUUGGAGAAUCUGUAGAGAGCAGUGGGGUUAUGAGGAAGCUAGAGUCCAAAGGAGCGGAUGAGCCUGUCACAAAGGAGGAAUGGGAUGAGUUUGUCAAGUAUGUGUAUGCUUUGGCUACGACCCGGAGACAAGGUGCUCCUGCCAAAGCAUCCACAUCCAACAAACCCAUCAUUGUUGAUUCUGGAGCAAGUCAUCACAUGAUUAGUGACAGAAGCUUAAUGAGUGAUGUAAAGAAAGCUACUGGAGGUGUGAUGAUAGCUAAUGGUGAUAGGAUUCCAAUAGAAGGAGUUGGAAAGCUCAAGCUAUUUGAUAAAGACUCAGAUGCCUUCUACAUGCCACAGUUUGCUUCAAAUCUACUAUCUGUGAGGAGAGCCACGAUUGAUCUUGGCUGUCAAGUAGUAUUCAGGCCAGAUGAUGUUGAAUUCCAAGAUUUGAAGACUGGAAUGGUCAUUGGGAGAGGAGACAGCAAGAAUAAUCUAUACCAGCUCCAAUUGGCUAAGAUCUAUAAACCCUUUGAUUCUAUGUGUUUGAGUAGUACUUAUGAGAAGAUUGAUAGUAUUACUUGGCAUGCUAGAUUGGGACAUCCUCAUGCUCGUGCUAUUGAAUUGAUAAUUCCUAAUAUGUCAUUUAAUCACUUGGAGUGUGAAGCAUGCAUAUUAGGAAAGCAUUGUAGGACUGUUUUUCCAACAUCAGAAACUACUUAUGAGCAUUGCUUUGAUCUAGUUCAUUCAGAUGUGUGGACUGCACCUUGUUUGUCUAGAGAUAGCCAGAAGUACUUUGUGACAUUCAUUGAUGAGAAGUCUAAGUAUACUUGGCUUACAUUGCUUCCAUCUAAAGAUAGGGUGCUAGAAGCAUUUAUGAACUUCCAAGCAUAUGUAUCUAAUCAAUACAAUGCUACUGUGAAGGUACUGAGAUCAGAUAAUGGAGGUGAAUACAUCAGCAAUGCCUUCAAGAGUCAUCUAGCCAAGCAUGGGAUCGUGCAUCAGACUAGCUGCCCUUAUACACCACAGCAGAAUGGUGUAGCUGAGAGGAAGAACAGGCACUUGAUGGAGGUUGCUAGAUCGAUGAUGUUUCAUGCAAAUGUCCCAAAACGUUUUUGGAGUGAUGCUGUGCAGACUGCUUGCUAUCUCAUCAACCGGGUUCCAACCAAGAUAUUGAAGAAUCUGUCUCCAUUUGAAGUGUUGAACAAGAGCAAACCUGUCAUUGAUCACCUACGUGUCUUUGGGUGUGUGUGCUAUGUCAUGGUUCCAGGAGAGCAGAGAAACAAGCUGGAGGCAAAGAGUACUAAGGCUAUGUUCAUUGGUUAUUCUAUCACUCAGAAGGGGUACAAGUGCUAUGAUCCUGAAGCAAGGAGGGUGAUGGUAUCUAGAGAAGUGAAGUUUGUUGAAACAAAAGGUUAUUAUGAAGAAAAGGAGUGGGAAAAUCUGAAGGAUUUGUCUCAAGCUCCAUCUGAUAAGGCAACAAUACUGAGAGUGUUGUUGGAGAAGCUCGGGAUAGGGUUUAUACACUUUUGUGUAUUAGAGCAUGAUUCAACCAAUCAGGGAUAAUCAGAUGAAAAGAUUAAAGAGAUUAAGAGAUUCUAGUGAGAGAAUAAAGAGAGAGAGACUCAAAACUCCAUUAAUUAAUAACUGAUGAGGUUUACAAGUAUUAAUAGAGAGAGCAACAAGGAAAUUCGAAAUUGUUAAGCAUGUGUAGUCAAAGGACAGGCUGGAACUCCUUUUGAAUCACUUGGCUGUGCUUUCUCACAUGCUUGCACUAGUAUAAAGGUAACUUCUCCUUUCCAGCAUCAUACAGGCUGUCAAAGUGAUCCCUUAUCCUUCCUUAACCUCACUUAUCCUCUUUGGUCGAGUUUCCUCUCUUCUCUUCACUAAGUUACCUUCUCAUCCCAUCAGAUAACUUCCCCAAGUAGUUACUGUGGUUAAAAUAAAGUUACCACAGUAAAACUCUAAAGUUACUGUCUCAGCCUCCUUGGUCUUCAUCUCAAUACUCCCCCUCAAGCUUGACCAUGUAGAACAAGUCAAGCUUGGAAACCAUGAAGACCUCCCUCGUUAAAAACCUCACCAAGUAAAACCCAUUGGGAUAAAACCUUGAUGAGGGAAAAAGAGUGGAGACUCCAUGGUUAAGGGGCUCAGCUCCUAGGAGUCAGAUCAAUGAGUCCAAGCCUUGACAGUAUGGACUCCAUUGUCUUCAAUCUCGCUGCCUUAGUAAACACAUCUGCAAGCUGAUCUUCACUUCUUGUAUAACAUGGCAGAAUCACUCCUAAGAUGAUCAUCUGCCUCACCUUAUGACAAUCCACCUCUAUGUGCUUUGUUCUCUCAUGAAACACUGAAUUGGAGGCAAUGUGGAUAGCUGCUUGAUUGUCACAAUGCAUUGUCAUAGGUGUGGCCUGCUCGAUCUCCAAGUGCUUCAAGAUCCCCUUGAUCCACACCAACUCAUUUGUAAGCUUCAACAUAGCUCUAUACUCAGCUUCAGCACUUGAACAGGAGAUGACCUUCUGCUUCUUACUCUUCCAAGUAACCAAGUUCCCUCCAAUGAAUGUACAAUACCCAGUAGUUGAUCUCCUGUCCACUCUAUCUCCUGCCCAAUCAGCAUCACAAUACCCAACCACUUCUGUACUGCCAUUGCAACCCAUCCAAACUCCUUGUCCAUGUGAGCCACUCAAAUACCUCAGUAUCCUAUCAACCAUCUUCCAGUGAUGUACCUUUGGCGCCUGCAUAUGUUGGCUCACUUGAUUCACAGCAAAGCAUAUAUCAGGUCUGGUGAUAGUCAAGUAGAUCAGCUUACCCACCAUCCUCCUAUACAGCUUAGCAUCCUCAAACAACUGGUUCUCUUCAACCUCCCCCUCACGCAAGACUUUAUACCCUUCCUCAAGAGGUGUCUUAGCUAUCUUCCCUCCAAGCACAUCAGUCUCCUUCAGCAUAUCCAUAGUAUACUUCCUUUGAGACAUAAACAAACCCUCCUUAGAUCUGCAUAUCUCAAUCCCCAAAAAAUACUUCAUCUCUCCCAAGUCUUUAAUAUCAAACACAGACUUGAGAAACUCUUUGGUGGCUUUAAUCCCAGCCUUAUCACUCCCUGUGAUAAUCAAAUCAUCCACAUACACCAAAAUCACUAUGAUCCCUGAUGGUCCAACCAGUGUGAAGAGUGUAUGAUCUAGUUCAGACUUCCUGAACCCUCUCCCAUUGAGAGUUGUACUAAGCUUUCUGUACCAAGCUCUAGGAGACUGCUUCAGCCCAUAUAUAGCCUUCUUCAAUCUCAAAACAUUCCCUGGCUUUACUAGAUGCUCAAGACCAGGAGGUGGAUGCAUGUAUACUUCAUCUUCAAGUUCACCUUGCAAGAAAGCAUUCUUCACAUCCAUUUGCCACAAAUCCCACUCCAAGUUUGUUGCAAUAGAUAACACAAUUCGAAUUGUGUGAAGCUUGGCCACUGGUGCAAAAGUAUCAAUGUAAUCUUCCCCAUAAGUCUGUGUAAAUCCUCUUGCAACCAGCCUAGUCUUGCGCCUAUCUAUCUCCCCAUUUGCAAGGUACUUGAUGGUGAAGAUCCAUCUGCUUGAAACUGCCUUCUUCCCUUUAGGUAACUCACUCUCAUACCAAGUAUCAUUCCUGAUCAUUGCAUCCCUUUCAUCUCCUACUGAAUCUCUCCAAACCUUGUGCUUCAUAGCUUCUUCAUAAGAUCUUGGUAUCUCAUUCUCAUCCAAGUUACACAUAAACACCAUGUGCUCUUCUGGAAACUCUGCAAAGGAACACACGGCUUGAGAGGGAUGCUCCACAGCCUGGGCAUUGUAGUACACUCUCGUGUUUACCCAGUUGGAAGGAUCCCUCCUUAUCCUUGUGCUCCUCCGCAAGGUCUCAACCUGUUCUUCAGCCUGAACAUUCUCUUGUGCUUCCUCUCUUAAACCAGUAGGUUCUCCCUGCUCAUUUCCACCUGACUGAGCUUCACUCUCUACUUCCUGUGUCUCCUCCUGAUCAUGCUGACCUGAAUCCUCUUGGUUAUGCUCCUGCUCCCCUGAUUCAGAUCCAUUCCCCCUCUCAUGAUCAAGAGGGGUUGUUCCUCCAGCUUCUCCAGUUUGAUUAGCAGGUCCGGUUCUUCCUGGUUCCUGAUCUUGGGAUAAUCCUAUCCCUAGCCUCUCCAACAACACUCUCAAUGUUGUUGCCUUCUCUGAUGGAGCUCGGGACAGAUCCUCUAGGUCUUCCCAUUUCUUCUCCUCAUAAUACCCUUUAGACUCAACAAACUUCACUUCUCUAGAUACCAUAACCCUCCUAGUUAUUGGAUCAUAACAUUUGUAGCCUUUCUGAGUGAUUGAGUACCCAAUGAACAUAGCUUUAGUACUCUUUGCUUCUAGCUUGUUCCUUCUUUCUCCGGGAAUCAUCACAUAACAUAAGCACCCAAAGACUCUCAAAUGAUCAAUGUGUGGCUUGGCCUUGUUCAAUACUUCAAAGGGAGACAGUUUCUUCAAGACACGGGUUGGCACUCUAUUGAUGAGAUAGCAAGCAGUCUGAACAGCAUCACUCCAAAACCUCUUAGGGACAUUCAUGUGGAACAUGAUUGAUCUCGCAACCUCCAUCAAAUGUCUGUUCUUCCUCUCAGCCACCCCAUUUUGUUGUGGUGUGUAAGGACAGCUAGUUUGUUGCACAAUCCCAUGCUUUGCAAGAUGACUCUUGAAAGCAUUGCUAGUGUAUUCUCCUCCAUUAUCAGACCUCAGAAUCCUCACAGUGGCAUUGUACUGAUUAGUAACAUAUGCUUGGAAGUUCAUGAAGGCUUCUAGGACUCUGUCUUUGGAGGGAAUCAUGGUGAUCCAUGUGUACUUGGACUUCUCAUCAAUGAAAGUCACAAAGUACUUAUGGCUGUCUCUAGACAUACAGGGAGCUGUCCACACGUCUGAAUGCACCAGAUCAAAGCAAUUCUCAUAUCUGGUUUCUGAUGUUGGGAAGACAGUCCUACAGUGCUUUCCAAGUAUACAAGCUUCACACUCCAAGUGAUUGAACGCCAUACUUGGUAGAAUCAGUUCAAUUGCCUUGGCAUGAGGAUGUCCCAGCCUUGCAUGCCAUGUGAGAUUAUCACACCUAUCCGUUGUGCUGCUUAAACACACAGACUCCACAGGACUAGGCGCCUCAGUUGUUUGGAGAUGAUAGAGCUGAUGCUUGCUGUCUCCUCUGCCAAUAACCCUUCCAGUCUUCAAAUCCUGGAACUCAACUUCAUUUGGUCUGAAAACCACUUGACAAUCCAGAUCAACUGUAGCCUUCUUAACUGAGAUUAGAUUGGAUGUAAACUGAGGUAGGUAGAAGGCAGUGGAGUUCUUCUCAAACAGCUUGAGGUUUCCCACUCCUUCUAUUGGGAUCCUGGUACCAUUGGCUAUCAUGACACUCCCUGUUGCUGCUUUAACCUCACUGAUUAGUCUCUUGUCACUGAUCAUGUGGUGUGUUGCUCCAGAGUCAAUGAUGAUGGGUUUAGAUGUGGAUGCUUUGGCAGGAGCACCCAGACUCCGGGUCGUAGCCAAAGCAUACACAUGCUUAACCAACUCAUCCCAUUCCUUCUUUGUCACACACUCAUCUGCCCUCUUGGUAUCCAUUCCUCUCAUAUCCGCACUGUCUCCUACUGUCUCUCCCAUGUAAGCUGAGUAUGAACACUCUCCUAUAACCAUCUGCUGAAGUACAUCCUUGAUUCUAUUCAAGAUUACACUCAUCCUGUCACUUAAGUGCUCAGACUCGCUAUCCUUUCUCCACGCCCUUCUCUUCAUUAACCACUCCUUAGAAAGUUUUCUCAACCUUCCCCUCUUACAGCUUGUACCUCCCUUCCAUCUUUCUGGCUUCCUGUUCAUUUCCCACACAUCACAAGUAUAUUUAACAAGCUCACAUACCUCUUCCAUAAGGAAGCUGAAGAUCACAUCUUGCUUCCUCCUUUCUUGACAACAUCUCGGAUUUGAUGUGUGUGUCUUCACCACAUCUAGCUCCGACCAUACUUCUCUCAGCCUUCCCACAAGCUGAUAACACUCAUCCUUUCCUUGUCUCAAGCCGCGGAUCACCCCUCUGUCCUCAACGACUCUCACAAGCUUGGACUUGCCUAAAGUUGCUUCAAUCUCACUCUUUGUAGUGUCUCCUUGAACAACUUCAUUUCCCAGCUUCAGACCUCUUGUCUGACCUUCUUCAGUAGCCAUUUCCAUGAAAGGUUUCCCCUUUCCAUGACUACUCCAUAACCCACAGCUUUCCAAAGCUCUCUUUGCCCAUCUUGACCAAUCGCCAUCCCUCUCUUCUUCAAGCUCCAUGGUUGUACUAGAUCUGUGCUUCAUUUCCAUGUUGAGAUAGUUUGAAUCCAUCAGAAUAUCUCACACCACUCAGAUAAUAAAGACCAGAACUCAAGAACACCAAGAACACUCAAGAACCCUCAAGAACACUCAAGAACACCCAGAUUUUAUGAAAAACGAAAUCACACUCUCCCCUUUUUAGCAACCUGGCUCUGAUACCAUAUACACUUUUGUGUAUUAGAGCAUGAUUCAACCAAUCAGGGAUAAUCAGAUGAAAAGAUUAAAGAGAUUAAGAGAUUCUAGUGAGAGAAUAAAGAGAGAGAGACUCAAAACUCCAUUAAUUAAUAACUGAUGAGGUUUACAAGUAUUAAUAGAGAGAGCAACAAGGAAAUUCGAAAUGGUUAAGCAUGUGUAGUCAAAGGACAGGCUGGAACUCCUUUUGAAUCACUUGGCUGUGCUUUCUCACAUGCUUGCACUAGUAUAAAGGUAACUUCUCCUUUCCAGCAUCAUACAGGCUGUCAAAGUGAUCCCUUAUCCUUCCUUAACCUCACUUAUCCUCUUUGGUCGAGUUUCCUCUCUUCUCUUCACUAAGUUACCUUCUCAUCCCAUCAGAUAACUUCCCCAAGUAGUUACUGUGGUUAAAAUAAAGUUACCACAGUAAAACUCUAAAGUUACUGUCUCAGCCUCCUUGGUCUUCAUCUCAAUACUCCCCCUCAAGCUUGACCAUGUAGAACAAGUCAAGCUUGGAAACCAUGAAGACCUCCCUCGUUAAAAACCUCACCAAGUAAAACCCAUUGGGAUAAAACCUUGAUGAGGGAAAAAGAGUGGAGACUCCAUGGUUAAGGGGCUCAGCUCCUAGGAGUCAGAUCAAUGAGUCCAAGCCUUGACAGUAUGGACUCCAUUGUCUUCAAUCUCGCUGCCUUAGUAAACACAUCUGCAAGCUGAUCUUCACUUCUUGUAUAACAUGGCAGAAUCACUCCUAAGAUGAUCAUCUGCCUCACCUUAUGACAAUCCACCUCUAUGUGCUUUGUUCUCUCAUGAAACACUGAAUUGGAGGCAAUGUGGAUAGCUGCUUGAUUGUCACAAUGCAUUGUCAUAGGUGUGGCCUGCUCGAUCUCCAAGUGCUUCAAGAUCCCCUUGAUCCACACCAACUCAUUUGUAAGCUUCAACAUAGCUCUAUACUCAGCUUCAGCACUUGAACAGGAGAUGACCUUCUGCUUCUUACUCUUCCAAGUAACCAGAUUCCCUCCAAUGAAUGUACAAUACCCAGUAGUUGAUCUCCUGUCCACUCUAUCUCCUGCCCAAUCAGCAUCACAAUACCCAACCACUUCUGUACUGCCAUUGCAACCCAUCCAAACUCCUUGUCCAUGUGAGCCACUCAAAUACCUCAGUAUCCUAUCAACCAUCUUCCAGUGAUGUACCUUUGGCGCCUGCAUAUGUUGGCUCACUUGAUUCACAGCAAAGCAUAUAUCAGGUCUGGUGAUAGUCAAGUAGAUCAGCUUACCCACCAUCCUCCUAUACAGCUUAGCAUCCUCAAACAACUGGUUCUCUUCAACCUCCCCCUCACGCAAGACUUUAUACCCUUCCUCAAGAGGUGUCUUAGCUAUCUUCCCUCCAAGCACAUCAGUCUCCUUCAGCAUAUCCAUAGUAUACUUCCUUUGAGACAUAAACAAACCCUCCUUAGAUCUGCAUAUCUCAAUCCCCAAAAAAUACUUCAUCUCUCCCAAGUCUUUAAUAUCAAACACAGACUUGAGAAACUCUUUGGUGGCUUUAAUCCCAGCCUUAUCACUCCCUGUGAUAAUCAAAUCAUCCACAUACACCAAAAUCACUAUGAUCCCUGAUGGUCCAACCAGUGUGAAGAGUGUAUGAUCUAGUUCAGACUUCCUGAACCCUCUCCCAUUGAGAGUUGUACUAAGCUUUCUGUACCAAGCUCUAGGAGACUGCUUCAGCCCAUAUAUAGCCUUCUUCAAUCUCAAAACAUUCCCUGGCUUUACUAGAUGCUCAAGACCAGGAGGUGGAUGCAUGUAUACUUCAUCUUCAAGUUCACCUUGCAAGAAAGCAUUCUUCACAUCCACUUGCCACAAAUCCCACUCCAAGUUUGUUGCAAUAGAUAACACAAUUCGAAUUGUGUGAAGCUUGGCCACUGGUGCAAAAGUAUCAAUGUAAUCUUCCCCAUAAGUCUGUGUAAAUCCUCUUGCAACCAGCCUAGUCUUGCGCCUAUCUAUCUCCCCAUUUGCAAGGUACUUGAUGGUGAAGAUCCAUCUGCUUGAAACUGCCUUCUUCCCUUUAGGUAACUCACUCUCAUACCAAGUAUCAUUCCUGAUCAUUGCAUCCCUUUCAUCUCCUACUGAAUCUCUCCAAACCUUGUGCUUCAUAGCUUCUUCAUAAGAUCUUGGUAUCUCAUUCUCAUCCAAGUUACACCUAACCACCAUGUGCUCUUCUGGAAACUCUGCAAAGGAACACACGGCUUGAGAGGGAUGCUCCACAGCCUGGGCAUUGUAGUACAGUCUCGUGUUUACCCAGUUGGAAGGAUCCCUCCUUAUCCUUGUGCUCCUCCGCAAGGUCUCAACCUGUUCUUCAGCCUGAACAUUCUCUUGUGCUUCCUCUCUUAAACCAGUAGGUUCUCCCUGCUCAUUUCCACCUGACUGAGCUUCACUCUCUACUUCCUGUGUCUCCUCCUGAUCAUGCUGACCUGAAUCCUCUUGGUUAUGCUCCUGCUCCCCUGAUUCAGAUCCAUUCCCCCUCUCAUGAUCAAGAGGGGUUGUUCCUCCAGCUUCUCCAGUUUGAUUAGAAGGUCCGGUUCUUCCUGGUUCCUGAUCUUGGGAUAAUCCUAUCCCUAGCCUCUCCAACAACACUCUCAAUGUUGUUGCCUUCUCUGAUGGAGCUCGGGACAGAUCCUCUAGGUCUUCCCAUUUCUUCUCCUCAUAAUACCCUUUAGACUCAACAAACUUCACUUCUCUAGAUACCAUAACCCUCCUAGUUAUUGGAUCAUAACAUUUGUAGCCUUUCUGAGUGAUUGAGUACCCAAUGAACAUAGCUUUAGUACUCUUUGCUUCUAGCUUGUUCCUUCUUUCUCCGGGAAUCAUCACAUAACAUAAGCACCCAAAGACUCUCAAAUGAUCAAUGUGUGGCUUGGCCUUGUUCAAUACUUCAAAGGGAGAUAGUUUCUUCAAGACACGGGUUGGCACUCUAUUGAUGAGAUAGCAAGCAGUCUGAACAGCAUCACUCCAAAACCUCUUAGGGACAUUCAUGUGGAACAUGAUUGAUCUCGCAACCUCCAUCAAAUGUCUGUUCUUCCUCUCAGCCACCCCAUUUUGUUGUGGUGUGUAAGGACAGCUAGUUUGUUGCACAAUCCCAUGCUUUGCAAGAUGACUCUUGAAAGCAUUGCUAGUGUAUUCUCCUCCAUUAUCAGACCUCAGAAUCCUCACAGUGGCAUUGUACUGAUUAGUAACAUAUGCUUGGAAGUUCAUGAAGGCUUCUAGGACUCUGUCUUUGGAGGGAAUCAUGGUGAUCCAUGUGUACUUGGACUUCUCAUCAAUGAAAGUCACAAAGUACUUAUGGCUGUCUCUAGACAUACAGGGAGCUGUCCACACGUCUGAAUGCACCAGAUCAAAGCAAUUCUCAUAUCUGGUUUCUGAUGUUGGGAAGACAGUCCUACAGUGCUUUCCAAGUAUACAAGCUUCACACUCCAAGUGAUUGAACGCCAUACUUGGUAGAAUCAGUUCAAUUGCCUUGGCAUGAGGAUGUCCCAGCCUUGCAUGCCAUGUGAGAUUAUCACACCUAUCCGUUGUGCUGCUUAAACACACAGACUCCACAGGACUAGGCGCCUCAGUUGUUUGGAGAUGAUAGAGCUGAUGCUUGCUGUCUCCUCUGCCAAUAACCCUUCCAGUCUUCAAAUCCUGGAACUCAACUUCAUUUGGUCUGAAAACCACUUGACAAUCCAGAUCAACUGUAGCCUUCUUAACUGAGAUUAGAUUGGAUGUAAACUGAGGUAGGUAGAAGGCAGUGGAGUUCUUCUCAAACAGCUUGAGGUUUCCCACUCCUUCUAUUGGGAUCCUGGUACCAUUGGCUAUCAUGACACUCCCUGUUGCUGCUUUAACCUCACUGAUUAGUCUCUUGUCACUGAUCAUGUGGUGUGUUGCUCCAGAGUCAAUGAUGAUGGGUUUAGAUGUGGAUGCUUUGGCAGGAGCACCCAGACUCCGGGUCGUAGCCAAAGCAUACACAUGCUUAACCAACUCAUCCCAUUCCUUCUUUGUCACACACUCAUCUGCCCUCUUGGUAUCCAUUCCUCUCAUAUCCGCACUGUCUCCUACUGUCUCUCCCAUGUAAGCUGAGUAUGAACACUCUCCUAUAACCAUCUGCUGAAGUACAUCCUUGAUUCUCUUCAAGAUUACACUCAUCCUGUCACUUAAGUGCUCAGACUCGCUAUCCUUUCUCCAUGCCCUUCUCUUCAUUAACCACUCCUUAGAAAGUUUUCUCAACCUUCCCCUCUUACAGCUUGUACCUCCCUUCCAUCUUUCUGGCUUCCUGUUCAUUUCCCUCACAUCACAAGUAUAUUUAACAAGCUCACAUACCUCUCCCAUAAGGAAGCUGAAGAUCACAUCUUGCUUCCUCCUUUCUUGACAACAUCUCGGAUUUGAUGUGUGUGUCUUCACCCCAUCUAGCUCCGACCAUACUUCUCUCAGCCUUCCCACAAGCUGAUAACACUCAUCCUUUCCUUGUCUCAAGCCGCGGAUCACCCCUCUGUCCUCAACGACUCUCACAAGCUUGGACUUGCCUAAAGUUGCUUCAAUCUCACUCUUUGUAGUGUCUCCUUGAACAACUUCAUUUCCCAGCUUCAGACCUCUUGUCUGACCUUCUUCAGUAGCCAUUUCCAUGAAAGGUUUCCCCUUUCCAUGACUACUCCAUAACCCACAGCUUUCCAAAGCUCUCUUUGCCCAUCUUGACCAAUCGCCAUCCCUCUCUUCUUCAAGCUCCAUGGUUGUACUAGAUCUGUGCUUCAUUUCCAUGUUGAGAUAGUUUGAAUCCAUCAGAAUAUCUCACACCACUCAGAUAAUAAAGACCAGAACUCAAGAACACCAAGAACACUCAAGAACCCUCAAGAACACUCAAGAACACCCAGAUUUUAUGAAAAACGAAAUCACACUCUCCCCUUUUUAGCAACCUGGCUCUGAUACCAUAUACACUUUUGUGUAUUAGAGCAUGAUUCAACCAAUCAGGGAUAAUCAGAUGAAAAGAUUAAAGAGAUUAAGAGAUUCUAGUGAGAGAAUAAAAAGAGAGAGACUCAAAACUCCAUUAAUUAAUAACUGAUGAGGUUUACAAGUAUUAAUAGAGAGAUCAACAAGGAAAUUCGAAAUGGAAGCAUGUGUAGUCAAAGGACAGGCUGGAACUCCUUUUGAAUCACUUGGCUGUGCUUUCUCACAUGCUUGCACUAGUAUAAAGGUAACUUCUCCUUUCCAGCAUCAUACAGGCUGUCAAAGUGAUCCCUUAUCCUUCCUUAACCUCACUUAUCCUCUUUGGUCGAGUUUCCUCUCUUCUCUUCACUAAGUUACCUUCUCAUCCCAUCAGAUAACUUCCCCAAGUAGUUACUGUGGUUAAAAUAAAGUUACCACAGUAAAACUCUAAAGUUACUGUCUCAGCCUCCUUGGUCUUCAUCUCAAUACUCCCCCUCAAGCUUGACCAUGUAGAACAAGUCAAGCUUGGAAACCAUGAAGACCUCCCUCGUUAAAAACCUCACCAAGUAAAACCCAUUGGGAUAAAACCUUGAUGAGGGAAAAAGAGUGGAGACUCCAUGGUUAAGGGGCUCAGCUCCUAGGAGUCAGAUCAAUGAGUCCAAGCCUUGACAGUAUGGACUCCAUUGUCUUCAAUCUCGCUGCCUUAGUAAACACAUCUGCAAGCUGAUCUUCACUUCUUGUAUAACAUGGCAGAAUCACUCCUAAGAUGAUCAUCUGCCUCACCUUAUGACAAUCCACCUCUAUGUGCUUUGUUCUCUCAUGAAACACUGAAUUGGAGGCAAUGUGGAUAGCUGCUUGAUUGUCACAAUGCAUUGUCAUAGGUGUGGCCUGCUCGAUCUCCAAGUGCUUCAAGAUCCCCUUGAUCCACACCAACUCAUUUGUAAGCUUCAACAUAGCUCUAUACUCAGCUUCAGCACUUGAACAGGAGAUGACCUUCUGCUUCUUACUCUUCCAAGUAACCAGAUUCCCUCCAAUGAAUGUACAAUACCCAGUAGUUGAUCUCCUGUCCACUCUAUCUCCUGCCCAAUCAGCAUCACAAUACCCAACCACUUCUGUACUGCCAUUGCAACCCAUCCAAACUCCUUGUCCAUGUGAGCCACUCAAAUACCUCAGUAUCCUAUCAACCAUCUUCCAGUGAUGUACCUUUGGCGCCUGCAUAUGUUGGCUCACUUGAUUCACAGCAAAGCAUAUAUCAGGUCUGGUGAUAGUCAAGUAGAUCAGCUUACCCACCAUCCUCCUAUACAGCUUAGCAUCCUCAAACAACUGGUUCUCUUCAACCUCCCCCUCACGCAAGACUUUAUACCCUUCCUCAAGAGGUGUCUUAGCUAUCUUCCCUCCAAGCACAUCAGUCUCCUUCAGCAUAUCCAUAGUAUACUUCCUUUGAGACAUAAACAAACCCUCCUUAGAUCUGCAUAUCUCAAUCCCCAAAAAAUACUUCAUCUCUCCCAAGUCUUUAAUAUCAAACACAGACUUGAGAAACUCUUUGGUGGCUUUAAUCCCAGCCUUAUCACUCCCUGUGAUAAUCAAAUCAUCCACAUACACCAAAAUCACUAUGAUCCCUGAUGGUCCAACCAGUGUGAAGAGUGUAUGAUCUAGUUCAGACUUCCUGAACCCUCUCCCAUUGAGAGUUGUACUAAGCUUUCUGUACCAAGCUCUAGGAGACUGCUUCAGCCCAUAUAUAGCCUUCUUCAAUCUCAAAACAUUCCCUGGCUUUACUAGAUGCUCAAGACCAGGAGGUGGAUGCAUGUAUACUUCAUCUUCAAGUUCACCUUGCAAGAAAGCAUUCUUCACAUCCACUUGCCACAAAUCCCACUCCAAGUUUGUUGCAAUAGAUAACACAAUUCGAAUUGUGUGAAGCUUGGCCACUGGUGCAAAAGUAUCAAUGUAAUCUUCCCCAUAAGUCUGUGUAAAUCCUCUUGCAACCAGCCUAGUCUUGCGCCUAUCUAUCUCCCCAUUUGCAAGGUACUUGAUGGUGAAGAUCCAUCUGCUUGAAACUGCCUUCUUCCCUUUAGGUAACUCACUCUCAUACCAAGUAUCAUUCCUGAUCAUUGCAUCCCUUUCAUCUCCUACUGAAUCUCUCCAAACCUUGUGCUUCAUAGCUUCUUCAUAAGAUCUUGGUAUCUCAUUCUCAUCCAAGUUACACAUAAACACCAUGUGCUCUUCUGGAAACUCUGCAAAGGAACACACGGCUUGAGAGGGAUGCUCCACAGCCUGGGCAUUGUAGUACACUCUCGUGUUUACCCAGUUGGAAGGAUCCCUCCUUAUCCUUGUGCUCCUCCGCAAGGUCUCAACCUGUUCUUCAGCCUGAACAUUCUCUUGUGCUUCCUCUCUUAAACCAGUAGGUUCUCCCUGCUCAUUUCCACCUGACUGAGCUUCACUCUCUACUUCCUGUGUCUCCUCCUGAUCAUGCUGACCUGAAUCCUCUUGGUUAUGCUCCUGCUCCCCUGAUUCAGAUCCAUUCCCCCUCUCAUGAUCAAGAGGGGUUGUUCCUCCAGCUUCUCCAGUUUGAUUAGAAGGUCCGGUUCUUCCUGGUUCCUGAUCUUGGGAUAAUCCUAUCCCUAGCCUCUCCAACAACACUCUCAAUGUUGUUGCCUUCUCUGAUGGAGCUCGGGACAGAUCCUCUAGGUCUUCCCAUUUCUUCUCCUCAUAAUACCCUUUAGACUCAACAAACUUCACUUCUCUAGAUACCAUAACCCUCCUAGUUAUUGGAUCAUAACAUUUGUAGCCUUUCUGAGUGAUUGAGUACCCAAUGAACAUAGCUUUAGUACUCUUUGCUUCUAGCUUGUUCCUUCUUUCUCCGGGAAUCAUCACAUAACAUAAGCACCCAAAGACUCUCAAAUGAUCAAUGUGUGGCUUGGCCUUGUUCAAUACUUCAAAGGGAGAUAGUUUCUUCAAGACACGGGUUGGCACUCUAUUGAUGAGAUAGCAAGCAGUCUGAACAGCAUCACUCCAAAACCUCUUAGGGACAUUCAUGUGGAACAUGAUUGAUCUCGCAACCUCCAUCAAAUGUCUGUUCUUCCUCUCAGCCACCCCAUUUUGUUGUGGUGUGUAAGGACAGCUAGUUUGUUGCACAAUCCCAUGCUUUGCAAGAUGACUCUUGAAAGCAUUGCUAGUGUAUUCUCCUCCAUUAUCAGACCUCAGAAUCCUCACAGUGGCAUUGUACUGAUUAGUAACAUAUGCUUGGAAGUUCAUGAAGGCUUCUAGGACUCUGUCUUUGGAGGGAAUCAUGGUGAUCCAUGUGUACUUGGACUUCUCAUCAAUGAAAGUCACAAAGUACUUAUGGCUGUCUCUAGACAUACAGGGAGCUGUCCACACGUCUGAAUGCACCAGAUCAAAGCAAUUCUCAUAUCUGGUUUCUGAUGUUGGGAAGACAGUCCUACAGUGCUUUCCAAGUAUACAAGCUUCACACUCCAAGUGAUUGAACGCCAUACUUGGUAGAAUCAGUUCAAUUGCCUUGGCAUGAGGAUGUCCCAGCCUUGCAUGCCAUGUGAGAUUAUCACACCUAUCCGUUGUGCUGCUUAAACACACAGACUCCACAGGACUAGGCGCCUCAGUUGUUUGGAGAUGAUAGAGCUGAUGCUUGCUGUCUCCUCUGCCAAUAACCCUUCCAGUCUUCAAAUCCUGGAACUCAACUUCAUUUGGUCUGAAAACCACUUGACAAUCCAGAUCAACUGUAGCCUUCUUAACUGAGAUUAGAUUGGAUGUAAACUGAGGUAGGUAGAAGGCAGUGGAGUUCUUCUCAAACAGCUUGAGGUUUCCCACUCCUUCUAUUGGGAUCCUGGUACCAUUGGCUAUCAUGACACUCCCUGUUGCUGCUUUAACCUCACUGAUUAGUCUCUUGUCACUGAUCAUGUGGUGUGUUGCUCCAGAGUCAAUGAUGAUGGGUUUAGAUGUGGAUGCUUUGGCAGGAGCACCCAGACUCCGGGUCGUAGCCAAAGCAUACACAUGCUUAACCAACUCAUCCCAUUCCUUCUUUGUCACACACUCAUCUGCCCUCUUGGUAUCCAUUCCUCUCAUAUCCGCACUGUCUCCUACUGUCUCUCCCAUGUAAGCUGAGUAUGAACACUCUCCUAUAACCAUCUGCUGAAGUACAUCCUUGAUUCUCUUCAAGAUUACACUCAUCCUGUCACUUAAGUGCUCAGACUCGCUAUCCUUUCUCCAUGCCCUUCUCUUCAUUAACCACUCCUUAGAAAGUUUUCUCAACCUUCCCCUCUUACAGCUUGUACCUCCCUUCCAUCUUUCUGGCUUCCUGUUCAUUUCCCACACAUCACAAGUAUAUUUAACAAGCUCACAUACCUCUUCCAUAAGGAAGCUGAAGAUCACAUCUUGCUUCCUCCUUUCUUGACAACAUCUCGGAUUUGAUGUGUGUGUCUUCACCCCAUCUAGCUCCGACCAUACUUCUCUCAGCCUUCCCACAAGCUGAUAACACUCAUCCUUUCCUUGUCUCAAGCCGCGGAUCACCCCUCUGUCCUCAACGACUCUCACAAGCUUGGACUUGCCUAAAGUUGCUUCAAUCUCACUCUUUGUAGUGUCUCCUUGAACAACUUCAUUUCCCAGCUUCAGACCUCUUGUCUGACCUUCUUCAGUAGCCAUUUCCAUGAAAGGUUUCCCCUUUCCAUGACUACUCCAUAACCCACAGCUUUCCAAAGCUCUCUUUGCCCAUCUUGACCAAUCGCCAUCCCUCUCUUCUUCAAGCUCCAUGGUUGUACUAGAUCUGUGCUUCAUUUCCAUGUUGAGAUAGUUUGAAUCCAUCAGAAUAUCUCACACCACUCAGAUAAUAAAGACCAGAACUCAAGAACACCAAGAACACUCAAGAACCCUCAAGAACACUCAAGAACACCCAGAUUUUAUGAAAAACGAAAUCACACUCUCCCCUUUUUAGCAACCUGGCUCUGAUACCAUAUACACUUUUGUGUAUUAGAGCAUGAUUCAACCAAUCAGGGAUAAUCAGAUGAAAAGAUUAAAGAGAUUAAGAGAUUCUAGUGAGAGAAUAAAGAGAGAGAGACUCAAAACUCCAUUAAUUAAUAACUGAUGAGGUUUACAAGUAUUAAUAGAGAGAGCAACAAGGAAAUUCGAAAUGGUUAAGCAUGUGUAGUCAAAGGACAGGCUGGAACUCCUUUUGAAUCACUUGGCUGUGCUUUCUCACAUGCUUGCACUAGUAUAAAGGUAACUUCUCCUUUCCAGCAUCAUACAGGCUGUCAAAGUGAUCCCUUAUCCUUCCUUAACCUCACUUAUCCUCUUUGGUCGAGUUUCCUCUCUUCUCUUCACUAAGUUACCUUCUCAUCCCAUCAGAUAACUUCCCCAAGUAGUUACUGUGGUUAAAAUAAAGUUACCACAGUAAAACUCUAAAGUUACUGUCUCAGCCUCCUUGGUCUUCAUCUCAAUACUCCCCCUCAAGCUUGACCAUGUAGAACAAGUCAAGCUUGGAAACCAUGAAGACCUCCCUCGUUAAAAACCUCACCAAGUAAAACCCAUUGGGAUAAAACCUUGAUGAGGGAAAAAGAGUGGAGACUCCAUGGUUAAGGGGCUCAGCUCCUAGGAGUCAGAUCAAUGAGUCCAAGCCUUGACAGUAUGGACUCCAUUGUCUUCAAUCUCGCUGCCUUAGUAAACACAUCUGCAAGCUGAUCUUCACUUCUUGUAUAACAUGGCAGAAUCACUCCUAAGAUGAUCAUCUGCCUCACCUUAUGACAAUCCACCUCUAUGUGCUUUGUUCUCUCAUGAAACACUGAAUUGGAGGCAAUGUGGAUAGCUGCUUGAUUGUCACAAUGCAUUGUCAUAGGUGUGGCCUGCUCGAUCUCCAAGUGCUUCAAGAUCCCCUUGAUCCACACCAACUCAUUUGUAAGCUUCAACAUAGCUCUAUACUCAGCUUCAGCACUUGAACAGGAGAUGACCUUCUGCUUCUUACUCUUCCAAGUAACCAGAUUCCCUCCAAUGAAUGUACAAUACCCAGUAGUUGAUCUCCUGUCCACUCUAUCUCCUGCCCAAUCAGCAUCACAAUACCCAACCACUUCUGUACUGCCAUUGCAACCCAUCCAAACUCCUUGUCCAUGUGAGCCACUCAAAUACCUCAGUAUCCUAUCAACCAUCUUCCAGUGAUGUACCUUUGGCGCCUGCAUAUGUUGGCUCACUUGAUUCACAGCAAAGCAUAUAUCAGGUCUGGUGAUAGUCAAGUAGAUCAGCUUACCCACCAUCCUCCUAUACAGCUUAGCAUCCUCAAACAACUGGUUCUCUUCAACCUCCCCCUCACGCAAGACCUUAUACCCUUCCUCAAGAGGUGUCUUAGCUAUCUUCCCUCCAAGCACAUCAGUCUCCUUCAGCAUAUCCAUAGUAUACUUCCUUUGAGACAUAAACAAACCCUCCUUAGAUCUGCAUAUCUCAAUCCCCAAAAAAUACUUCAUCUCUCCCAAGUCUUUAAUAUCAAACACAGACUUGAGAAACUCUUUGGUGGCUUUAAUCCCAGCCUUAUCACUCCCUGUGAUAAUCAAAUCAUCCACAUACACUAAAAUCACUAUGAUCCCUGAUGGUCCAACCAGUGUGAAGAGUGUAUGAUCUAGUUCAGACUUCCUGAACCCUCUCCCAUUGAGAGUUGUACUAAGCUUUCUGUACCAAGCUCUAGGAGACUGCUUCAGCCCAUAUAUAGCCUUCUUCAAUCUCAAAACAUUCCCUGGCUUUACUAGAUGCUCAAGACCAGGAGGUGGAUGCAUGUAUACUUCAUCUUCAAGUUCACCUUGCAAGAAAGCAUUCUUCACAUCCAUUUGCCACAAAUCCCACUCCAAGUUUGUUGCAAUAGAUAACACAAUUCGAAUUGUGUGAAGCUUGGCCACUGGUGCAAAAGUAUCAAUGUAAUCUUCCCCAUAAGUCUGUGUAAAUCCUCUUGCAACCAGCCUAGUCUUGCGCCUAUCUAUCUCCCCAUUUGCAAGGUACUUGAUGGUGAAGAUCCAUCUGCUUGAAACUGCCUUCUUCCCUUUAGGUAACUCACUCUCAUACCAAGUAUCAUUCCUGAUCAUUGCAUCCCUUUCAUCUCCUACUGAAUCUCUCCAAACCUUGUGCUUCAUAGCUUCUUCAUAAGAUCUUGGUAUCUCAUUCUCAUCCAAGUUACACAUAAACACCAUGUGCUCUUCUGGAAACUCUGCAAAGGAACACACGGCUUGAGAGGGAUGCUCCACAGCCUGGGCAUUGUAGUACACUCUCGUGUUUACCCAGUUGGAAGGAUCCCUCCUUAUCCUUGUGCUCCUCCGCAAGGUCUCAACCUGUUCUUCAGCCUGAACAUUCUCUUGUGCUUCCUCUCUUAAACCAGUAGGUUCUCCCUGCUCAUUUCCACCUGACUGAGCUUCACUCUCUACUUCCUGUGUCUCCUCCUGAUCAUGCUGACCUGAAUCCUCUUGGUUAUGCUCCUGCUCCCCUGAUUCAGAUCCAUUCCCCCUCUCAUGAUCAAGAGGGGUUGUUCCUCCAGCUUCUCCAGUUUGAUUAGAAGGUCCGGUUCUUCCUGGUUCCUGAUCUUGGGAUAAUCCUAUCCCUAGCCUCUCCAACAACACUCUCAAUGUUGUUGCCUUCUCUGAUGGAGCUCGGGACAGAUCCUCUAGGUCUUCCCAUUUCUUCUCCUCAUAAUACCCUUUAGACUCAACAAACUUCACUUCUCUAGAUACCAUAACCCUCCUAGUUAUUGGAUCAUAACAUUUGUAGCCUUUCUGAGUGAUUGAGUACCCAAUGAACAUAGCUUUAGUACUCUUUGCUUCUAGCUUGUUCCUUCUUUCUCCGGGAAUCAUCACAUAACAUAAGCACCCAAAGACUCUCAAAUGAUCAAUGUGUGGCUUGGCCUUGUUCAAUACUUCAAAGGGAGACAGUUUCUUCAAGACACGGGUUGGCACUCUAUUGAUGAGAUAGCAAGCAGUCUGAACAGCAUCACUCCAAAACCUCUUAGGAACAUUCAUGUGGAACAUGAUUGAUCUCGCAACCUCCAUCAAAUGUCUGUUCUUCCUCUCAGCCACCCCAUUUUGUUGUGGUGUGUAAGGACAGCUAGUUUGUUGCACAAUCCCAUGCUUUGCAAGAUGACUCUUGAAAGCAUUGCUAGUGUAUUCUCCUCCAUUAUCAGACCUCAGAAUCCUCACAGUGGCAUUGUACUGAUUAGUAACAUAUGCUUGGAAGUUCAUGAAGGCGUCUAGGACUCUGUCUUUGGAGGGAAUCAUGGUGAUCCAUGUGUACUUGGACUUCUCAUCAAUGAAAGUCACAAAGUACUUAUGGCUGUCUCUAGACAUACAGGGAGCUGUCCACACGUCUGAAUGUACCAGAUCAAAGCAAUUCUCAUAUCUGGUUUCUGAUGUUGGGAAGACAGUCCUACAGUGCUUUCCAAGUAUACAAGCUUCACACUCCAAGUGAUUGAACGCCAUACUUGGUAGAAUCAGUUCAAUUGCCUUGGCAUGAGGAUGUCCCAGCCUUGCAUGCCAUGUGAGAUUAUCACACCUAUCCGUUGUGCUGCUUAAACACACAGACUCCACAGGACUAGGCGCCUCAGUUGUUUGGAGAUGAUAGAGCUGAUGCUUGCUGUCUCCUCUGCCAAUAACCCUUCCAGUCUUCAAAUCCUGGAACUCAACUUCAUUUGGUCUGAAAACCACUUGACAAUCCAGAUCAACUGUAGCCUUCUUAACUGAGAUUAGAUUGGAUGUAAACUGAGGUAGGUAGAAGGCAGUGGAGUUCUUCUCAAACAGCUUGAGGUUUCCCACUCCUUCUAUUGGGAUCCUGGUACCAUUGGCUAUCAUGACACUCCCUGUUGCUGCUUUAACCUCACUGAUUAGUCUCUUGUCACUGAUCAUGUGGUGUGUUGCUCCAGAGUCAAUGAUGAUGGGUUUAGAUGUGGAUGCUUUGGCAGGAGCACCCAGACUCCGGGUCGUAGCCAAAGCAUACACAUGCUUAACCAACUCAUCCCAUUCCUUCUUUGUCACACACUCAUCUGCCCUCUUGGUAUCCAUUCCUCUCAUAUCCGCACUGUCUCCUACUGUCUCUCCCAUGUAAGCUGAGUAUGAACACUCUCCUAUAACCAUCUGCUGAAGUACAUCCUUGAUUCUCUUCAAGAUUACACUCAUCCUGUCACUUAAGUGCUCAGACUCGCUAUCCUUUCUCCAUGCCCUUCUCUUCAUUAACCACUCCUUAGAAAGUUUUCUCAACCUUCCCCUCUUACAGCUUGUACCUCCCUUCCAUCUUUCUGGCUUCCUGUUCAUUUCCCACACAUCACAAGUAUAUUUAACAAGCUCACAUACCUCUUCCAUAAGGAAGCUGAAGAUCACAUCUUGCUUCCUCCUUCCUUGACAACAUCUCGGAUUUGAUGUGUGUGUCUUCACCACAUCUAGCUCCGACCAUACUUCUCUCAGCCUUCCCACAAGCUGAUAACACUCAUCCUCUCCUUGUCUCAAGCCGCGGAUCACCCCUCUGUCCUCAACGACUCUCACAAGCUUGGACUUGCCUAAAGUUGCUUCAAUCUCACUCUUUGUAGUGUCUCCUUGAACAACUUCAUUUCCCAGCUUCAGACCUCUUGUCUGACCUUCUUCAGUAGCCAUUUCCAUGAAAGGUUUCCCCUUUCCAUGACUACUCCAUAACCCACAGCUUUCCACAGCUCUCUUUGCCCAUCUUGACCAAUCGCCAUCCCUCUCUUCUUCAAGCUCCAUGGUUGUACUAGAUCUGUGCUUCAUUUCCAUGUUGAGAUAGUUUGAAUCCAUCAGAAUAUCUCACACCACUCAGAUAAUAAAGACCAGAACUCAAGAACACCAAGAACACUCAAGAACCCUCAAGAACACUCAAGAACACCCAGAUUUUAUGAAAAACGAAAUCACACUCUCCCCUUUUUAGCAACCUGGCUCUGAUACCAAUUGGUGUAGUGCCUCUUACUUCUUGCUUAUACACUUUUGUGUAUUAGAGCAUGAUUCAACCAAUCAGGGAUAAUCAGAUGAAAAGAUUAAAGAGAUUAAGAGAUUCUAGUGAGAGAAUAAAGAGAGAGAGACUCAAAACUCCAUUAAUUAAUAACUGAUGAGGUUUACAAGUAUUAAUAGAGAGAGCAACAAGGAAAUUCGAAAUGGUUAAGCAUGUGUAGUCAAAGGACAGGCUGGAACUCCUUUUGAAUCACUUGGCUGUGCUUUCUCACAUGCUUGCACUAGUAUAAAGGUAACUUCUCCUUUCCAGCAUCAUACAGGCUGUCAAAGUGAUCCCUUAUCCUUCCUUAACCUCACUUAUCUUCUUUGGUCGAGUUUCCUCUCUUCUCUUCACUAAGUUACCUUCUCAUCCCAUCAGAUAACUUCCCCAAGUAGUUACUGUGGUUAAAAUAAAGUUACCACAGUAAAACUCUAAAGUUACUGUCUCAGCCUCCUUGGUCUUCAUCUCAAUACUCCCCCUCAAGCUUGACCAUGUAGAACAAGUCAAGCUUGGAAACCAUGAAGACCUCCCUCGUUAAAAACCUCACCAAGUAAAACCCAUUGGGAUAAAACCUUGAUGAGGGAAAAAGAGUGGAGACUCCAUGGUUAAGGGGCUCAGCUCCUAGGAGUCAGAUCAAUGAGUCCAAGCCUUGACAGUAUGGACUCCAUUGUCUUCAAUCUCGCUGCCUUAGUAAACACAUCUGCAAGCUGAUCUUCACUUCUUGUAUAACAUGGCAGAAUCACUCCUAAGAUGAUCAUCUGCCUCACCUUAUGACAAUCCACCUCUAUGUGCUUUGUUCUCUCAUGAAACACUGAAUUGGAGGCAAUGUGGAUAGCUGCUUGAUUGUCACAAUGCAUUGUCAUAGGUGUGGCCUGCUCGAUCUCCAAGUGCUUCAAGAUCCCCUUGAUCCACACCAACUCAUUUGUAAGCUUCAACAUAGCUCUAUACUCAGCUUCAGCACUUGAACAGGAGAUGACCUUCUGCUUCUUACUCUUCCAAGUAACCAGAUUCCCUCCAAUGAAUGUACAAUACCCAGUAGUUGAUCUCCUGUCCACUCUAUCUCCUGCCCAAUCAGCAUCACAAUACCCAACCACUUCUGUACUGCCAUUGCAACCCAUCCAAACUCCUUGUCCAUGUGAGCCACUCAAAUACCUCAGUAUCCUAUCAACCAUCUUCCAGUGAUGUACCUUUGGCGCCUGCAUAUGUUGGCUCACUUGAUUCACAGCAAAGCAUAUAUCAGGUCUGGUGAUAGUCAAGUAGAUCAGCUUACCCACCAUCCUCCUAUACAGCUUAGCAUCCUCAAACAACUGGUUCUCUUCAACCUCCCCCUCACGCAAGACCUUAUACCCUUCCUCAAGAGGUGUCUUAGCUAUCUUCCCUCCAAGCACAUCAGUCUCCUUCAGCAUAUCCAUAGUAUACUUCCUUUGAGACAUAAACAAACCCUCCUUAGAUCUGCAUAUCUCAAUCCCCAAAAAAUACUUCAUCUCUCCCAAGUCUUUAAUAUCAAACACAGACUUGAGAAACUCUUUGGUGGCUUUAAUCCCAGCCUUAUCACUCCCUGUGAUAAUCAAAUCAUCCACAUACACCAAAAUCACUAUGAUCCCUGAUGGUCCAACCAGUGUGAAGAGUGUAUGAUCUAGUUCAGACUUCCUGAACCCUCUCCCAUUGAGAGUUGUACUAAGCUUUCUGUACCAAGCUCUAGGAGACUGCUUCAGCCCAUAUAUAGCCUUCUUCAAUCUCAAAACAUUCCCUGGCUUUACUAGAUGCUCAAGACCAGGAGGUGGAUGCAUGUAUACUUCAUCUUCAAGUUCACCUUGCAAGAAGGCAUUCUUCACAUCCAUUUGCCACAAAUCCCACUCCAAGUUUGUUGCAAUAGAUAACACAAUUCGAAUUGUGUGAAGCUUGGCCACUGGUGCAAAAGUAUCAAUGUAAUCUUCCCCAUAAGUCUGUGUAAAUCCUCUUGCAACCAGCCUAGUCUUGCGCCUAUCUAUCUCCCCAUUUGCAAGGUACUUGAUGGUGAAGAUCCAUCUGCUUGAAACUGCCUUCUUCCCUUUAGGUAACUCACUCUCAUACCAAGUAUCAUUCCUGAUCAUUGCAUCCCUUUCAUCUCCUACUGAAUCUCUCCAAACCUUGUGCUUCAUAGCUUCUUCAUAAGAUCUUGGUAUCUCAUUCUCAUCCAAGUUACACAUAAACACCAUGUGCUCUUCUGGAAACUCUGCAAAGGAACACACGGCUUGAGAGGGAUGCUCCACAGCCUGGGCAUUGUAGUACACUCUCGUGUUUACCCAGUUGGAAGGAUCCCUCCUUAUCCUUGUGCUCCUCCGCAAGGUCUCAACCUGUUCUUCAGCCUGAACAUUCUCUUGUGCUUCCUCUCUUAAACCAGUAGGUUCUCCCUGCUCAUUUCCACCUGACUGAGCUUCACUCUCUACUUCCUGUGUCUCCUCCUGAUCAUGCUGACCUGAAUCCUCUUGGUUAUGCUCCUGCUCCCCUGAUUCAGAUCCAUUCCCCCUCUCAUGAUCAAGAGGGGUUGUUCCUCCAGCUUCUCCAGUUUGAUUAGAAGGUCCGGUUCUUCCUGGUUCCUGAUCUUGGGAUAAUCCUAUCCCUAGCCUCUCCAACAACACUCUCAAUGUUGUUGCCUUCUCUGAUGGAGCUCGGGACAGAUCCUCUAGGUCUUCCCAUUUCUUCUCCUCAUAAUACCCUUUAGACUCAACAAACUUCACUUCUCUAGAUACCAUAACCCUCCUAGUUAUUGGAUCAUAACAUUUGUAGCCUUUCUGAGUGAUUGAGUACCCAAUGAACAUGGCUUUAGUACUCUUUGCUUCUAGCUUGUUCCUUCUUUCUCCGGGAAUCAUCACAUAACAUAAGCACCCAAAGACUCUCAAAUGAUCAAUGUGUGGCUUGGCCUUGUUCAAUACUUCAAAGGGAGACAGUUUCUUCAAGACACGGGUUGGCACUCUAUUGAUGAGAUAGCAAGCAGUCUGAACAGCAUCACUCCAAAACCUCUUAGGGACAUUCAUGUGGAACAUGAUUGAUCUCGCAACCUCCAUCAAAUGUCUGUUCUUCCUCUCAGCCACCCCAUUUUGUUGUGGUGUGUAAGGACAGCUAGUUUGUUGCACAAUCCCAUGCUUUGCAAGAUGACUCUUGAAAGCAUUGCUAGUGUAUUCUCCUCCAUUAUCAGACCUCAGAAUCCUCACAGUGGCAUUGUACUGAUUAGUAACAUAUGCUUGGAAGUUCAUGAAGGCUUCUAGGACUCUGUCUUUGGAGGGAAUCAUGGUGAUCCAUGUGUACUUGGACUUCUCAUCAAUGAAAGUCACAAAGUACUUAUGGCUGUCUCAAGACAUACAGGGAGCUGUCCACACGUCUGAAUGCACCAGAUCAAAGCAAUUCUCAUAUCUGGUUUCUGAUGUUGGGAAGACAGUCCUACAGUGCUUUCCAAGUAUACAAGCUUCACACUCCAAGUGAUUGAACGCCAUACUUGGUAGAAUCAGUUCAAUUGCCUUGGCAUGAGGAUGUCCCAGCCUUGCAUGCCAUGUGAGAUUAUCACACCUAUCCGUUGUGCUGCUUAAACACACAGACUCCACAGGACUAGGCGCCUCAGUUGUUUGGAGAUGAUAGAGCUGAUGCUUGCUGUCUCCUCUGCCAAUAACCCUUCCAGUCUUCAAAUCCUGGAACUCAACUUCAUUUGGUCUGAAAACCACUUGACAAUCCAGAUCAACUGUAGCCUUCUUAACUGAGAUUAGAUUGGAUGUAAACUGAGGUAGGUAGAAGGCAGUGGAGUUCUUCUCAAACAGCUUGAGGUUUCCCACUCCUUCUAUUGGGAUCCUGGUACCAUUGGCUAUCAUGACACUCCCUGUUGCUGCUUUAACCUCACUGAUUAGUCUCUUGUCACUGAUCAUGUGGUGUGUUGCUCCAGAGUCAAUGAUGAUGGGUUUAGAUGUGGAUGCUUUGGCAGGAGCACCCAGACUCCGGGUCGUAGCCAAAGCAUACACAUGCUUAACCAACUCAUCCCAUUCCUUCUUUGUCACACACUCAUCUGCCCUCUUGGUAUCCAUUCCUCUCAUAUCCGCACUGUCUCCUACUGUCUCUCCCAUGUAAGCUGAGUAUGAACACUCUCCUAUAACCAUCUGCUGAAGUACAUCCUUGAUUCUCUUCAAGAUUACACUCAUCCUGUCACUUAAGUGCUCAGACUCGCCAUCCUUUCUCCAUGCCCUUCUCUUCAUUAACCACUCCUUAGAAAGUUUUCUCAACCUUCCCCUCUUACAGCUUGUACCUCCCUUCCAUCUUUCUGGCUUCCUGUUCAUUUCCCACACAUCACAAGUAUAUUUAACAAGCUCACAUACCUCUUCCAUAAGGAAGCUGAAGAUCACAUCUUGCUUCCUCCUUUCUUGACAACAUCUCGGAUUUGAUGUGUGUGUCUUCACCACAUCUAGCUCCGACCAUACUUCUCUCAGCCUUCCCACAAGCUGAUAACACUCAUCCUCUCCUUGUCUCAAGCCGCGGAUCACCCCUCUGUCCUCAACGACUCUCACAAGCUUGGACUUGCCUAAAGUUGCUUCAAUCUCACUCUUUGUAGUGUCUCCUUGAACAACUUCAUUUCCCAGCUUCAGACCUCUUGUCUGACCUUCUUCAGUAGCCAUUUCCAUGAAAGGUUUCCCCUUUCCAUGACUACUCCAUAACCCACAGCUUUCCAAAGCUCUCUUUGCCCAUCUUGACCAAUCGCCAUCCCUCUCUUCUUCAAGCUCCAUGGUUGUACUAGAUCUGUGCUUCAUUUCCAUGUUGAGAUAGUUUGAAUCCAUCAGAAUAUCUCACACCACUCAGAUAAUAAAGACCAGAACUCAAGAACACCAAGAACACUCAAGAACCCUCAAGAACACUCAAGAACACCCAGAUUUUAUGAAAAACGAAAUCACACUCUCCCCUUUUUAGCAACCUGGCUCUGAUACCAUAUACACUUUUGUGUAUUAGAGCAUGAUUCAACCAAUCAGGGAUAAUCAGAUGAAAAGAUUAAAGAGAUUAAGAGAUUCUAGUGAGAGAAUAAAGAGAGAGAGACUCAAAACUCCAUUAAUUAAUAACUGAUGAGGUUUACAAGUAUUAAUAGAGAGAGCAACAAGGAAAUUCGAAAUGGUUAAGCAUGUGUAGUCAAAGGACAGGCUGGAACUCCUUUUGAAUCACUUGGCUGUGCUUUCUCACAUGCUUGCACUAGUAUAAAGGUAACUUCUCCUUUCCAGCAUCAUACAGGCUGUCAAAGUGAUCCCUUAUCCUUCCUUAACCUCACUUAUCUUCUUUGGUCGAGUUUCCUCUCUUCUCUUCACUAAGUUACCUUCUCAUCCCAUCAGAUAACUUCCCCAAGUAGUUACUGUGGUUAAAAUAAAGUUACCACAGUAAAACUCUAAAGUUACUGUCUCAGCCUCCUUGGUCUUCAUCUCAAUACUCCCCCUCAAGCUUGACCAUGUAGAACAAGUCAAGCUUGGAAACCAUGAAGACCUCCCUCGUUAAAAACCUCACCAAGUAAAACCCAUUGGGAUAAAACCUUGAUGAGGGAAAAAGAGUGGAGACUCCAUGGUUAAGGGGCUCAGCUCCUAGGAGUCAGAUCAAUGAGUCCAAGCCUUGACAGUAUGGACUCCAUUGUCUUCAAUCUCGCUGCCUUAGUAAACACAUCUGCAAGCUGAUCUUCACUUCUUGUAUAACAUGGCAGAAUCACUCCUAAGAUGAUCAUCUGCCUCACCUUAUGACAAUCCACCUCUAUGUGCUUUGUUCUCUCAUGAAACACUGAAUUGGAGGCAAUGUGGAUAGCUGCUUGAUUGUCACAAUGCAUUGUCAUAGGUGUGGCCUGCUCGAUCUCCAAGUGCUUCAAGAUCCCCUUGAUCCACACCAACUCAUUUGUAAGCUUCAACAUAGCUCUAUACUCAGCUUCAGCACUUGAACAGGAGAUGACCUUCUGCUUCUUACUCUUCCAAGUAACCAGAUUCCCUCCAAUGAAUGUACAAUACCCAGUAGUUGAUCUCCUGUCCACUCUAUCUCCUGCCCAAUCAGCAUCACAAUACCCAACCACUUCUGUACUGCCAUUGCAACCCAUCCAAACUCCUUGUCCAUGUGAGCCACUCAAAUACCUCAGUAUCCUAUCAACCAUCUUCCAGUGAUGUACCUUUGGCGCCUGCAUAUGUUGGCUCACUUGAUUCACAGCAAAGCAUAUAUCAGGUCUGGUGAUAGUCAAGUAGAUCAGCUUACCCACCAUCCUCCUAUACAGCUUAGCAUCCUCAAACAACUGGUUCUCUUCAACCUCCCCCUCACGCAAGACCUUAUACCCUUCCUCAAGAGGUGUCUUAGCUAUCUUCCCUCCAAGCACAUCAGUCUCCUUCAGCAUAUCCAUAGUAUACUUCCUUUGAGACAUAAACAAACCCUCCUUAGAUCUGCAUAUCUCAAUCCCCAAAAAAUACUUCAUCUCUCCCAAGUCUUUAAUAUCAAACACAGACUUGAGAAACUCUUUGGUGGCUUUAAUCCCAGCCUUAUCACUCCCUGUGAUAAUCAAAUCAUCCACAUACACUAAAAUCACUAUGAUCCCUGAUGGUCCAACCAGUGUGAAGAGUGUAUGAUCUAGUUCAGACUUCCUGAACCCUCUCCCAUUGAGAGUUGUACUAAGCUUUCUGUACCAAGCUCUAGGAGACUGCUUCAGCCCAUAUAUAGCCUUCUUCAAUCUCAAAACAUUCCCUGGCUUUACUAGAUGCUCAAGACCAGGAGGUGGAUGCAUGUAUACUUCAUCUUCAAGUUCACCUUGCAAGAAAGCAUUCUUCACAUCCAUUUGCCACAAAUCCCACUCCAAGUUUGUUGCAAUAGAUAACACAAUUCGAAUUGUGUGAAGCUUGGCCACUGGUGCAAAAGUAUCAAUGUAAUCUUCCCCAUAAGUCUGUGUAAAUCCUCUUGCAACCAGCCUAGUCUUGCGCCUAUCUAUCUCCCCAUUUGCAAGGUACUUGAUGGUGAAGAUCCAUCUGCUUGAAACUGCCUUCUUCCCUUUAGGUAACUCACUCUCAUACCAAGUAUCAUUCCUGAUCAUUGCAUCCCUUUCAUCUCCUACUGAAUCUCUCCAAACCUUGUGCUUCAUAGCUUCUUCAUAAGAUCUUGGUAUCUCAUUCUCAUCCAAGUUACACAUAAACACCAUGUGCUCUUCUGGAAACUCAGCAAAGGAACACAUGGCUUGAGAGGGAUGCUCCACAGCCUGGGCAUUGUAGUACACUCUCGUGUUUACCCAGUUGGAAGGAUCCCUCCUUAUCCUUGUGCUCCUCCGCAAGGUCUCAACCUGUUCUUCAGCCUGAACAUUCUCUUGUGCUUCCUCUCUUAAACCAGUAGGUUCUCCCUGCUCAUUUCCACCUGACUGAGCUUCACUCUCUACUUCCUGUGUCUCCUCCUGAUCAUGCUGACCUGAAUCCUCUUGGGUAUGCUCCUGCUCCCCUGAUUCAGAUCCAUUCCCCCUCUCAUGAUCAAGAGGGGUUGUUCCUCCAGCUUCUCCAGUUUGAUUAGAAGGUCCGGUUCUUCCUGGUUCCUGAUCUUGGGAUAAUCCUAUCCCUAGCCUCUCCAACAACACCCUCAAUGUUGUUGCCUUCUCUGAUGGAGCUCGGGACAGAUCCUCUAGGUCUUCCCAUUUCUUCUCCUCAUAAUACCCUUUAGACUCAACAAACUUCACUUCUCUAGAUACCAUAACCCUCCUAGUUAUUGGAUCAUAACAUUUGUAGCCUUUCUGAGUGAUUGAGUACCCAAUGAACAUAGCUUUAGUACUCUUUGCUUCUAGCUUGUUCCUUCUUUCUCCGGGAAUCAUCACAUAACAUAAGCACCCAAAGACUCUCAAAUGAUCAAUGUGUGGCUUGGCCUUGUUCAAUACUUCAAAGGGAGACAGUUUCUUCAAGACACGGGUUGGCACUCUAUUGAUGAGAUAGCAAGCAGUCUGAACAGCAUCACUCCAAAACCUCUUAGGAACAUUCAUGUGGAACAUGAUUGAUCUCGCAACCUCCAUCAAAUGUCUGUUCUUCCUCUCAGCCACCCCAUUUUGUUGUGGUGUGUAAGGACAGCUAGUUUGUUGCACAAUCCCAUGCUUUGCAAGAUGACUCUUGAAAGCAUUGCUAGUGUAUUCUCCUCCAUUAUCAGACCUCAGAAUCCUCACAGUGGCAUUGUACUGAUUAGUAACAUAUGCUUGGAAGUUCAUGAAGGCGUCUAGGACUCUGUCUUUGGAGGGAAUCAUGGUGAUCCAUGUGUACUUGGACUUCUCAUCAAUGAAAGUCACAAAGUACUUAUGGCUGUCUCUAGACAUACAGGGAGCUGUCCACACGUCUGAAUGUACCAGAUCAAAGCAAUUCUCAUAUCUGGUUUCUGAUGUUGGGAAGACAGUCCUACAGUGCUUUCCAAGUAUACAAGCUUCACACUCCAAGUGAUUGAACGCCAUACUUGGUAGAAUCAGUUCAAUUGCCUUGGCAUGAGGAUGUCCCAGCCUUGCAUGCCAUGUGAGAUUAUCACACCUAUCCGUUGUGCUGCUUAAACACACAGACUCCACAGGACUAGGCGCCUCAGUUGUUUGGAGAUGAUAGAGCUGAUGCUUGCUGUCUCCUCUGCCAAUAACCCUUCCAGUCUUCAAAUCCUGGAACUCAACUUCAUUUGGUCUGAAAACCACUUGACAAUCCAGAUCAACUGUAGCCUUCUUAACUGAGAUUAGAUUGGAUGUAAACUGAGGUAGGUAGAAGGCAGUGGAGUUCUUCUCAAACAGCUUGAGGUUUCCCACUCCUUCUAUUGGGAUCCUGGUACCAUUGGCUAUCAUGACACUCCCUGUUGCUGCUUUAACCUCACUGAUUAGUCUCUUGUCACUGAUCAUGUGGUGUGUUGCUCCAGAGUCAAUGAUGAUGGGUUUAGAUGUGGAUGCUUUGGCAGGAGCACCCAGACUCCGGGUCGUAGCCAAAGCAUACACAUGCUUAACCAACUCAUCCCAUUCCUUCUUUGUCACACACUCAUCUGCCCUCUUGGUAUCCAUUCCUCUCAUAUCCGCACUGUCUCCUACUGUCUCUCCCAUGUAAGCUGAGUAUGAACACUCUCCUAUAACCAUCUGCUGAAGUACAUCCUUGAUUCUCUUCAAGAUUACACUCAUCCUGUCACUUAAGUGCUCAGACUCGCUAUCCUUUCUCCAUGCCCUUCUCUUCAUUAACCACUCCUUAGAAAGUUUUCUCAACCUUCCCCUCUUACAGCUUGUACCUCCCUUCCAUCUUUCUGGCUUCCUGUUCAUUUCCCACACAUCACAAGUAUAUUUAACAAGCUCACAUACCUCUUCCAUAAGGAAGCUGAAGAUCACAUCUUGCUUCCUCCUUCCUUGACAACAUCUCGGAUUUGAUGUGUGUGUCUUCACCACAUCUAGCUCCGACCAUACUUCUCUCAGCCUUCCCACAAGCUGAUAACACUCAUCCUCUCCUUGUCUCAAGCCGCGGAUCACCCCUCUGUCCUCAACGACUCUCACAAGCUUGGACUUGCCUAAAGUUGCUUCAAUCUCACUCUUUGUAGUGUCUCCUUGAACAACUUCAUUUCCCAGCUUCAGACCUCUUGUCUGACCUUCUUCAGUAGCCAUUUCCAUGAAAGGUUUCCCCUUUCCAUGACUACUCCAUAACCCACAGCUUUCCACAGCUCUCUUUGCCCAUCUUGACCAAUCGCCAUCCCUCUCUUCUUCAAGCUCCAUGGUUGUACUAGAUCUGUGCUUCAUUUCCAUGUUGAGAUAGUUUGAAUCCAUCAGAAUAUCUCACACCACUCAGAUAAUAAAGACCAGAACUCAAGAACACCAAGAACACUCAAGAACCCUCAAGAACACUCAAGAACACCCAGAUUUUAUGAAAAACGAAAUCACACUCUCCCCUUUUUAGCAACCUGGCUCUGAUACCAUAUACACUUUUGUGUAUUAGAGCAUGAUUCAACCAAUCAGGGAUAAUCAGAUGAAAAGAUUAAAGAGAUUAAGAGAUUCUAGUGAGAGAAUAAAGAGAGAGAGACUCAAAACUCCAUUAAUUAAUAACUGAUGAGGUUUACAAGUAUUAAUAGAGAGAGCAACAAGGAAAUUCGAAAUGGUUAAGCAUGUGUAGUCAAAGGACAGGCUGGAACUCCUUUUGAAUCACUUGGCUGUGCUUUCUCACAUGCUUGCACUAGUAUAAAGGUAACUUCUCCUUUCCAGCAUCAUACAGGCUGUCAAAGUGAUCCCUUAUCCUUCCUUAACCUCACUUAUCUUCUUUGGUCGAGUUUCCUCUCUUCUCUUCACUAAGUUACCUUCUCAUCCCAUCAGAUAACUUCCCCAAGUAGUUACUGUGGUUAAAAUAAAGUUACCACAGUAAAACUCUAAAGUUACUGUCUCAGCCUCCUUGGUCUUCAUCUCAAUACUCCCCCUCAAGCUUGACCAUGUAGAACAAGUCAAGCUUGGAAACCAUGAAGACCUCCCUCGUUAAAAACCUCACCAAGUAAAACCCAUUGGGAUAAAACCUUGAUGAGGGAAAAAGAGUGGAGACUCCAUGGUUAAGGGGCUCAGCUCCUAGGAGUCAGAUCAAUGAGUCCAAGCCUUGACAGUAUGGACUCCAUUGUCUUCAAUCUCGCUGCCUUAGUAAACACAUCUGCAAGCUGAUCUUCACUUCUUGUAUAACAUGGCAGAAUCACUCCUAAGAUGAUCAUCUGCCUCACCUUAUGACAAUCCACCUCUAUGUGCUUUGUUCUCUCAUGAAACACUGAAUUGGAGGCAAUGUGGAUAGCUGCUUGAUUGUCACAAUGCAUUGUCAUAGGUGUGGCCUGCUCGAUCUCCAAGUGCUUCAAGAUCCCCUUGAUCCACACCAACUCAUUUGUAAGCUUCAACAUAGCUCUAUACUCAGCUUCAGCACUUGAACAGGAGAUGACCUUCUGCUUCUUACUCUUCCAAGUAACCAGAUUCCCUCCAAUGAAUGUACAAUACCCAGUAGUUGAUCUCCUGUCCACUCUAUCUCCUGCCCAAUCAGCAUCACAAUACCCAACCACUUCUGUACUGCCAUUGCAACCCAUCCAAACUCCUUGUCCAUGUGAGCCACUCAAAUACCUCAGUAUCCUAUCAACCAUCUUCCAGUGAUGUACCUUUGGCGCCUGCAUAUGUUGGCUCACUUGAUUCACAGCAAAGCAUAUAUCAGGUCUGGUGAUAGUCAAGUAGAUCAGCUUACCCACCAUCCUCCUAUACAGCUUAGCAUCCUCAAACAACUGGUUCUCUUCAACCUCCCCCUCACGCAAGACCUUAUACCCUUCCUCAAGAGGUGUCUUAGCUAUCUUCCCUCCAAGCACAUCAGUCUCCUUCAGCAUAUCCAUAGUAUACUUCCUUUGAGACAUAAACAAACCCUCCUUAGAUCUGCAUAUCUCAAUCCCCAAAAAAUACUUCAUCUCUCCCAAGUCUUUAAUAUCAAACACAGACUUGAGAAACUCUUUGGUGGCUUUAAUCCCAGCCUUAUCACUCCCUGUGAUAAUCAAAUCAUCCACAUACACCAAAAUCACUAUGAUCCCUGAUGGUCCAACCAGUGUGAAGAGUGUAUGAUCUAGUUCAGACUUCCUGAACCCUCUCCCAUUGAGAGUUGUACUAAGCUUUCUGUACCAAGCUCUAGGAGACUGCUUCAGCCCAUAUAUAGCCUUCUUCAAUCUCAAAACAUUCCCUGGCUUUACUAGAUGCUCAAGACCAGGAGGUGGAUGCAUGUAUACUUCAUCUUCAAGUUCACCUUGCAAGAAGGCAUUCUUCACAUCCAUUUGCCACAAAUCCCACUCCAAGUUUGUUGCAAUAGAUAACACAAUUCGAAUUGUGUGAAGCUUGGCCACUGGUGCAAAAGUAUCAAUGUAAUCUUCCCCAUAAGUCUGUGUAAAUCCUCUUGCAACCAGCCUAGUCUUGCGCCUAUCUAUCUCCCCAUUUGCAAGGUACUUGAUGGUGAAGAUCCAUCUGCUUGAAACUGCCUUCUUCCCUUUAGGUAACUCACUCUCAUACCAAGUAUUAUUCCUGAUCAUUGCAUCCCUUUCAUCUCCUACUGAAUCUCUCCAAACCUUGUGCUUCAUAGCUUCUUCAUAAGAUCUUGGUAUCUCAUUCUCAUCCAAGUUACACAUAAACACCAUGUGCUCUUCUGGAAACUCUGCAAAGGAACACACGGCUUGAGAGGGAUGCUCCACAGCCUGGGCAUUGUAGUACACUCUCGUGUUUACCCAGUUGGAAGGAUCCCUCCUUAUCCUUGUGCUCCUCCGCAAGGUCUCAACCUGUUCUUCAGCCUGAACAUUCUCUUGUGCUUCCUCUCUUAAACCAGUAGGUUCUCCCUGCUCAUUUCCACCUGACUGAGCUUCACUCUCUACUUCCUGUGUCUCCUCCUGAUCAUGCUGACCUGAAUCCUCUUGGUUAUGCUCCUGCUCCCCUGAUUCAGAUCCAUUCCCCCUCUCAUGAUCAAGAGGGGUUGUUCCUCCAGCUUCUCCAGUUUGAUUAGAAGGUCCGGUUCUUCCUGGUUCCUGAUCUUGGGAUAAUCCUAUCCCUAGCCUCUCCAACAACACUCUCAAUGUUGUUGCCUUCUCUGAUGGAGCUCGGGACAGAUCCUCUAGGUCUUCCCAUUUCUUCUCCUCAUAAUACCCUUUAGACUCAACAAACUUCACUUCUCUAGAUACCAUAACCCUCCUAGUUAUUGGAUCAUAACAUUUGUAGCCUUUCUGAGUGAUUGAGUACCCAAUGAACAUAGCUUUAGUACUCUUUGCUUCUAGCUUGUUCCUUCUUUCUCCGGGAAUCAUCACAUAACAUAAGCACCCAAAGACUCUCAAAUGAUCAAUGUGUGGCUUGGCCUUGUUCAAUACUUCAAAGGGAGACAGUUUCUUCAAGACACGGGUUGGCACUCUAUUGAUGAGAUAGCAAGCAGUCUGAACAGCAUCACUCCAAAACCUCUUAGGGACAUUCAUGUGGAACAUGAUUGAUCUCGCAACCUCCAUCAAAUGUCUGUUCUUCCUCUCAGCCACCCCAUUUUGUUGUGGUGUGUAAGGACAGCUAGUUUGUUGCACAAUCCCAUGCUUUGCAAGAUGACUCUUGAAAGCAUUGCUAGUGUAUUCUCCUCCAUUAUCAGACCUCAGAAUCCUCACAGUGGCAUUGUACUGAUUAGUAACAUAUGCUUGGAAGUUCAUGAAGGCUUCUAGGACUCUGUCUUUGGAGGGAAUCAUGGUGAUCCAUGUGUACUUGGACUUCUCAUCAAUGAAAGUCACAAAGUACUUAUGGCUGUCUCUAGACAUACAGGGAGCUGUCCACACGUCUGAAUGCACCAGAUCAAAGCAAUUCUCAUAUCUGGUUUCUGAUGUUGGGAAGACAGUCCUACAGUGCUUUCCAAGUAUACAAGCUUCACACUCCAAGUGAUUGAACGCCAUACUUGGUAGAAUCAGUUCAAUUGCCUUGGCAUGAGGAUGUCCCAGCCUUGCAUGCCAUGUGAGAUUAUCACACCUAUCCGUUGUGCUGCUUAAACACACAGACUCCACAGGACUAGGCGCCUCAGUUGUUUGGAGAUGAUAGAGCUGAUGCUUGCUGUCUCCUCUGCCAAUAACCCUUCCAGUCUUCAAAUCCUGGAACUCAACUUCAUUUGGUCUGAAAACCACUUGACAAUCCAGAUCAACUGUAGCCUUCUUAACUGAGAUUAGAUUGGAUGUAAACUGAGGUAGGUAGAAGGCAGUGGAGUUCUUCUCAAACAGCUUGAGGUUUCCCACUCCUUCUAUUGGGAUCCUGGUACCAUUGGCUAUCAUGACACUCCCUGUUGCUGCUUUAACCUCACUGAUUAGUCUCUUGUCACUGAUCAUGUGGUGUGUUGCUCCAGAGUCAAUGAUGAUGGGUUUAGAUGUGGAUGCUUUGGCAGGAGCACCCAGACUCCGGGUCGUAGCCAAAGCAUACACAUGCUUAACCAACUCAUCCCAUUCCUUCUUUGUCACACACUCAUCUGCCCUCUUGGUAUCCAUUCCUCUCAUAUCCGCACUGUCUCCUACUGUCUCUCCCAUGUAAGCUGAGUAUGAACACUCUCCUAUAACCAUCUGCUGAAGUACAUCCUUGAUUCUCUUCAAGAUUACACUCAUCCUGUCACUUAAGUGCUCAGACUCGCCAUCCUUUCUCCAUGCCCUUCUCUUCAUUAACCACUCCUUAGAAAGUUUUCUCAACCUUCCCCUCUUACAGCUUGUACCUCCCUUCCAUCUUUCUGGCUUCCUGUUCAUUUCCCACACAUCACAAGUAUAUUUAACAAGCUCACAUACCUCUUCCAUAAGGAAGCUGAAGAUCACAUCUUGCUUCCUCCUUUCUUGACAACAUCUCGGAUUUGAUGUGUGUGUCUUCACCACAUCUAGCUCCGACCAUACUUCUCUCAGCCUUCCCACAAGCUGAUAACACUCAUCCUCUCCUUGUCUCAAGCCGCGGAUCACCCCUCUGUCCUCAACGACUCUCACAAGCUUGGACUUGCCUAAAGUUGCUUCAAUCUCACUCUUUGUAGUGUCUCCUUGAACAACUUCAUUUCCCAGCUUCAGACCUCUUGUCUGACCUUCUUCAGUAGCCAUUUCCAUGAAAGGUUUCCCCUUUCCAUGACUACUCCAUAACCCACAGCUUUCCAAAGCUCUCUUUGCCCAUCUUGACCAAUCGCCAUCCCUCUCUUCUUCAAGCUCCAUGGUUGUACUAGAUCUGUGCUUCAUUUCCAUGUUGAGAUAGUUUGAAUCCAUCAGAAUAUCUCACACCACUCAGAUAAUAAAGACCAGAACUCAAGAACACCAAGAACACUCAAGAACCCUCAAGAACACUCAAGAACACCCAGAUUUUAUGAAAAACGAAAUCACACUCUCCCCUUUUUAGCAACCUGGCUCUGAUACCAUAUACACUUUUGUGUAUUAGAGCAUGAUUCAACCAAUCAGGGAUAAUCAGAUGAAAAGAUUAAAGAGAUUAAGAGAUUCUAGUGAGAGAAUAAAGAGAGAGAGACUCAAAACUCCAUUAAUUAAUAACUGAUGAGGUUUACAAGUAUUAAUAGAGAGAGCAACAAGGAAAUUCGAAAUGGUUAAGCAUGUGUAGUCAAAGGACAGGCUGGAACUCCUUUUGAAUCACUUGGCUGUGCUUUCUCACAUGCUUGCACUAGUAUAAAGGUAACUUCUCCUUUCCAGCAUCAUACAGGCUGUCAAAGUGAUCCCUUAUCCUUCCUUAACCUCACUUAUCCUCUUUGGUCGAGUUUCCUCUCUUCUCUUCACUAAGUUACCUUCUCAUCCCAUCAGAUAACUUCCCCAAGUAGUUACUGUGGUUAAAAUAAAGUUACCACAGUAAAACUCUAAAGUUACUGUCUCAGCCUCCUUGGUCUUCAUCUCAAUAGUUGCCACUGCUUGUUACCUGAUAAACAGAACUCCAACCAAAGUUCUGAAUGAGAAGGCUCCAUUUGAAGUUCUGAACAGGUACAAGCCAGCUCUUGAUUACUUGCGAGUCUUUGGAUGCCUAUGCUUUGUCCUCAAACCAGGAGAGAUGAUCAACAAGCUAGAAGCAAGAAGCACUAAGGCUGUGUUCAUAGGAUACUCAGCUACACAGAAAGGAUACAAAUGCUAUGAUCCUAUAGCAAGGAGAGUUCUUGUAUCUAGAGAUGUGAAGUUCUUGGAAGAUAGAGGAUACUAUGAAGAAAAGAAUCAAGAAGACCUGAAGGACUUAACAUCAGACAAGGCCACCACCUUGCGGAUCAUUCUUGAAGGUCUUGGAAUCAGUACAUCCCAGGAUCCGAGGAAUCACGCAACUACACCUCCUGAAGUUGGUUCACCAUCCCACCUUGAUCAUGAGGGAGGAGAGGAGCAUGAGGAGCCUAUGCAAGAGGCCAACCAAGAUGAAGGAGGAGUAGAGAAUGAAGGAGAAGAGAGCAUAGGCUCGGAUGGUCAUGGACAUGAUCAUGGUGUGACACAAACACCUUCUCAAGAUGAAGUGGUAGAAGAACAACAGGAAGAAGAACCAGUUGUGCAGCCACUAAGAAGGAGUACAAGGAUAAGGAAGGAUCCUUCCAGUUGGGUAAACACGAGAGUGUACUACAAUGCCCAAGCUGUGGAGCAUCCUUCUCAAGCCGUGUGCUCCUUUGCUCAAUAUCCAGAAGCACAUUGCGCGUUCAUGGUAAACUUGGAUGAGAAUCACAUCCCAAGAAGCUAUGAAGAAGCAAUGAAAGAUAAAGAAUGGAAGGAAUCAGUUGGAGAUGAGGCAGGAGCGAUGAUCAAGAAUGAUACAUGGUAUGAGAGUGAGUUACCAAAAGGGAAGAAGGCUGUGACUAGUAGAUGGAUAUUCACAAUCAAGUACAAAGCGGAUGGAAAGGUUGAGAGGAAGAAGUCAAGACUAGUUGCAAGAGGGUUCACUCAAACUUAUGGAGAAGAUUACAUAGAAACCUUUGCACCAGUAGCUAAACUCCACACAAUCCGGAUUGUACUAAGCUUGGCUGUGAAUCUUGGAUGGGGGUUAUGGCAAAUGGAUGUGAAGAAUGCGUUUCUACAAGGUGAACUUGAGGAUGAAGUGUAUAUGCAUCCACCUCCAGGCCUUGAACACUUAGUAAAGAGUGGGAAUGUACUGAGAUUGAAGAAAGCCAUCUAUGGACUGAAGCAAUCACCAAGGGCUUGGUACAACAAGUUGAGCACUACUCUGAAUGGCCGAGGCUUCAAGAAGUCUGAACUAGAUCACACUCUCUUCACUCUCACGACUCCCGCAGGUAUGAUUGCUCUCCUUGUGUAUGUUGAUGAUAUCAUUAUCACAGGGAGUGAUAAGGAAGGUAUCAUAGCAACCAAGGAGUUUCUUAAAUCCAUGUUUGAGAUUAAAGACUUGGGAGAAAUGAAAUACUUCCUUGGAAUUGAGAUAUGUAGAUCCAAGGAAGGUUUGUUCAUGUCCCAAAGGAAAUAUACACUUGAUCUUUUGAAAGGUGCAGGUGCUUAUGGAGGCAAGACAGCAAGGAUGCCUAUGGAGGAUGGCUACAAAGUCCCACGAGAGGGGGAGAUUGAAGACAGCAAACCUUAUCAGGAUCCUAAACUCUAUAGAAAACUAGUUGGCAAAUUGAUUUAUCUUACUAUAACUAGACCUGACAUCUGCUUUGCUGUGAAUCAGGUGAGUCAACACAUGCAAGUGCCUAAGGAACAUCACUGGCACAUGGUGGAGAGGAUCUUGAUGUAUCUCAACGGCUCACCUGAUCAAGGAGUAUGGAUGGGCUGCAAUGGAAGCACUGAAGUGGUGGGAUAUUGUGAUGCGGAUUGGGCUGGUGAUAGAGCAGACAGGAGAUCAACCACAGGCUAUUGCACAUUCAUUGGAGGCAACUUGGUGACUUGGAAGAGCAAGAAGCAGAAGGUAGUGUCAUGUUCAAGUGCAGAAGCCGAGUAUAGAGCCAUGCUGAAGCUCACCAACGAGUUGGUAUGGAUCAAAGGCAUCUUGAAGCACUUGGAGAUCGAUCAAGCAACUCCAAUGACAAUGCAUUGUGACAAUCAAGCUGCCAUCCACAUUGCAUCCAACUCGGUGUUUCAUGAGAGGACCAAGCACAUUGAAGUUGAUUGUCACAAGGUGAGGCAGAUGAUUGUGCUAGGGGUGAUCUUGCCAUGUUACACAAGGAGUGAAGAUCAGCUAGCGGAUGUGUUCACCAAGGCUGCAAGACAGAAGACAAUGGAGUCCAUUCACAUCAGGUUGGGCCUCAUUGAUCUUGGGAAGAGAAGGAGCUAAUCCCCUUAGCUGCAAGGUCUUUACUCUUUUUCCCUCAUCAAAGUUUUAUCCCAUUGGGUUUUCUUUGGUGAGGUUUUUAAUGAGGAAGAUCUUGUGGCUGUCCAAGCUUAGACUUAUACAAAGCUAAGCUUGAGGGGGAGUGUUGAGUUGAGCUGAAUAUAUAUGUAUGAAGAGCUAAGGAGUUGAAGAGGAAAGGAGAUGAGGAAGCUUGAGAGAGUUUAGGGAGAGCAUGGUACGGACGUCCGUACAAGGCCGUACAAGCCGUACAGUCCGUACCAUCCAGCAUCGACCAAGACUUACCUUGCAUCAGCCAAGUAACACGGUAACUAAGGUAAAGGGAAGGAACUUACCUUGAGGCAUCAGACCGUUUAGGGAUAAGGUAGAGCGCGCCUUGACAGGCUGGAACAGCUGGAAAGGCAAGAGCAUCUCGGUCCAAGAUGCCAGAUACUCCGCGCAUGUGGAGAAGCUAAUUGGCUAGUCCAAAUGAGCUUAUCCUCUCCUGAUUGACCUCACAUGCUUUAGUCUUCUCUUGAUUUCGAAAACCCUUGUAUGCUCUCUCUAUAUAUUGUAACUCAUCAACCCUAAUGAAGAUUAUGCAGUUUGAGUCUCUCUAAUCUCUUAGACACUAUGCUUUUCUCUUAGACACUAAACGGCUCUAUCUAGUCUCCUAAUCUUUCACAAACUUCUCUUAAUCACUUCCUAAACACUCUCUUUAUUCUGUUUACUCUAAGGAUCUCUUAAUCUCAUACUAUUGUGAGGUGAUUGAAGAAGUAGCUGAAGCAUCCACAAGCAUUCCAUCAUGGUGGCAAAUUUAGAAGGGUGAUUGCAAUAAGAGAAGAAGAAGAAGUGAGGAUUCAAGUGGCAACGACCACUCCUCAUCACCUUAAACAAGGGAGUAAACCUAGUCUCAUCUAUCUUAAUAUAUCUUGAUAGGUUUAUCUCCUGAUUAUACUAUGUGCUUUCCCUAAGAGUUUAUAGCUUCUAAGUAGAAUGUCUAGGCUAAUUGCACUGAGAUUGUUUUGCUGCUGCAUUGUCUUAUUGAUAGUAAGUAAUGUCUAGAGUCCCAGAAUCUCAUGUUCUGUUUAUUGCUUUGUCUUGAGUGUUGUCAUAGCUUGAAUCAUCAUGAAUGUGUUGUAGAAUUGAGUAGAAUGUCUCUGCUGCUUGCAUCAUGAUUGAUAAGUUAUUUUGCAUACAUAAGCAUAUCUCAUACUGUCUAAGUUCAAUCCUAGUGUUAUCUGAUGCUAUUGCCUAUGUUUAAUCCAUCAAUGAAAGUCUUGCAUCAAUUAGAAAUUGUCUAAGUUGCUUGCAUCAUUGGUUCUGAUUGAAACUGUUGUGCAGAGCUUUAAUAUUACUCAUGGAUUGAACCUGUUGCAUUCAUAUAGCUAAUGCUUUAAGAUUGUGCAUUCAUGUAGUAAUGCAUUUAAAAAUGAGCCUAAAUUGCAAAUGUACUGAUAUAAGCUUUGCAUUUAGAGAACUGUAUAGAACUUGCAUUGUCAUUGUUAGAAAUUGAAAUCUGCGUGUCUUGACUCAGUCCAGUUCUGAUUGUUGCUAUGCCAUAGUUAAAUCCAUCAGUGAUGUCUUAUAAGCAUUUAGAAGUAUGUCUAAGCUACUUGAAUCAUUGGCUUUGAUAAAACUAGUGAGCAUAAGCAUGAAUUGAGUCACUCUUGUCGCCUUAAUUGCAUAAGUAUCAUCUAGACUUGUGUUCCAUUUGGAUUGAAUCUGUUUCAUUCAUAUAGUUAGUGUAACCUAAUGCAUUCAUCUAUUGUUGCAUUUAAAAAAAAAACUGAAUUGAUUGUCUUUGCUUGAUUGUCUUGAUUGUCUAGCUUGUUUCAAGUAUCAUAUAUUAUUGUGGCAUUGGUGAUCAAACAGGAUGGAUGAUCUUGGUUUGAUCCCAAUGAGAUGAUCUGAUCUUGCAUUGAGUUGUGGUGGUGUUAGGUACACAAGGAAUGUGAUACAUGAAACUCGCCAACAACCAAGAAUGUAAAGACAAAGAUCUUGUGCCAUUGCAUAUCAUCACUAGGACAUGUUAUUAGUCCAUAAUCUACAGGAAGUGUAGUGUGAUUGAGUAUGCAAUGAGAGAUGGCCAUUGCAUAAUACCAUUGGACAUAUCUAGUCCUUAGUCUACAGGAAGUGUAGCAUGGGUCAUUAUGCAAUGAGAGGCGUGUCUUGUGAGACUCUCUAUGGUGAUUCAAACACCCUAAUUCCUGGUUAAGGAAGAGAGAAAACUCACAAUUAGAUAGCUAUCAUAAAAGAUGAUAGUUAAUUAGACCAUGGAGAUGCAUAGGAUCAUCACAAGCUUAGCUCCUUCUAGUCUUGGUUCUAAGCUUGAGGGGGAGUCUUAAUGCAUAUGAUCCAUGGUCAGUAACAAGUCUUUGCAAAGGCUUCUACAAGGAUCAUCAACCGGACCAAGAUAGUGGCGUGUCUAGGCAAGAGGCUGUUCAGAGCAGUCUUGGCGAGUGAAGAAGAACGCUCUCCAUCAAUGCGGCUUCAAUGAGAGGUGAUUGAGGAGAAGCUGAUGAAUCCAUUCUGCCUUUCCAAGAAGUUGGUGAUGCCAUGAAGAUGGUGCAUUGGCCGAGUUAGGAAACUCACAAAAACACAAGGGAAGUUCCCUUAGACUUUUAAAACCUUUUUAUUCAUCUUAUUCAUUGCUUGUGCUUGAAAAGAUACGUAAAAUGAUUAUGAUUGAAUUGUGAGAUUGUGUGCAUCAAGUGUGAUGCAGGAUAUUCAUUUUCUUGUUUUUGAUAGGUACUGAUGCACCUUUGGGAUAAUGUAUCAGGUACCAUUGCUUGAGCCUCACUAAAGGUGUUCCUGGUCAUUUCCUAGCUUCUCUAAGGUGGCUGUGAAGUCCGUUGAGAGGGGGAGAUUCAAACCAGUUCUAUGAAGAGGGCAAGCCGUGUGUAAAGUGUUGAUCAGCCUCACUGGUGUUUUGAAGAUGAUCUGGUCGUGUCCUAGCUUCUCUAAGAUGGCUGAGAAGUCAGUUGAGAGGGGGAGACUUCAAACCGGUUCCAUGAAGAGGUGAAGCUGAAGUGUGAAGUGUGCGCAAAGCUGUGAAGAGUUGCUGCACCUAUUAGGACGUGAUCCAGAGCUUCUUGUGUCCAACCACACUGGUUCUAAGGCACAAGAGCUCACUGGCCAAUCCCUAGGCUUUGGAGAGCUCUACUCUUUUUCCCUUGCAAGGUUUUGUCCCAAUGGGUUUUCCUUGUAAGGUUUUUAAUGAGGGAGACUCUUCAGAGUUCCAAGCUUGGCUUAGGAUCUCCUAAAGUCAAGCUUGAGGGGGAGUGUUGAACUGAAGAGAAGAUGGAGCUUGUACAAUGAUAGGGCAAGCUCUAGAAGAUGUCUAGAAGAGUUCAAUCAAGCUUCAGAAGUGUUCUGAAGAAGUUAUCUUGUGAAGAUAAGUCUAGGAAAGACUUAGACUGAUCAUGUGAGGGCUUUGGAGGAUUACAGAGAAGAUGGAAGUGUGGUGCAAAGAUAGGGCCAAGUCCAGGAGGGACUUAGAAGAGUAUUUGGGCGAGUGUGCAAACUUAGGGACUGGCUGUACGGACCGUACGGAUCCGUACGGACCGAGACAUCCCGAAAGUUCACCAGUCAACCAUUUGAGCACAUUUGAAGUUGGUGCAAAAAUAGGGCACUGGUGAAAAAGGUAAGUUCCUUCCCUUUACCUUAGUUACCGUGUUACUUGGCUGAUGCAAGGUAAGUCUUGGUCGAUGCUGGAUGGUACGGACUGUACGGCUUGUACGGCCUUGUACGGACGUCCGUACCAUGCUCUCCCUAAACUCUCUCAAGCUUCCUCAUCUCCUUUCCUCUUCAACUCCUUAGCUCUUCAUACAUAUAUAUUCAGCUCAACUCAACAAUGGGAGCCUUUAGCUAGCCAAUAAGGAGCCAGCCUUCCCUUGACCAGAUUCAAAUGGACCAAUUAUCCAUCAGGAACAGCACAGCCACGACCAAGACCAUCUGUCCAUCUCAUCCAUUCAUUUAAAUUCAAGUUAUAACAGCCCUUAGAUUUAGGUUUAUGAUUGCAAGUUGUAAAGAGCAUAUAUAAGCUCAUAAGUGAUGUUUUGUAACUCUUAAGUGAGUAAGGGGGUUUCCCUUCUCCUUCUCUAAUCUGAAACACUUUCUUAGUCUCUCUAGUCUCUCAUCCUGAAUCUCUAUACACGUUCUCAGUCUUGUUACUAAUCUCUUAAACACUUAGACACACAAACACUCAUCAAACUUCCUUUCUCUCAAAUCGCUUCCAAGCUCUCUCUCUUUACCCAUUUGGGUUUCAUACACACAUACAACCUGAGUACUCUUAAAUCUCUAUGGUAUCAGAGCCAGGUUCAUUAGAACUUGGUUCCAGCUUCUGCUAAGCUCAAAGCUCACUCCCAUUCCAUUUCCAAACCAAGAAGAAGCUUCAUGGUCAUUUGGCUGUUCAACCUCUUCAAGAAGAAGGUGUGCUCAUCAAUGGCGUCCAGAAGCUGUUCUUGGUCGUUCUCCACUCUCUCAUGGUCGUCCUGAAGAAAGAAGGCCAUUGGAAGCAUGUCCAAGCCAUUCCCAUUCACUGUCCAAGAAGAAAGGUGAAAGCUUUCAACUUGUACCUGGUAUGGCGACUCAAAAAUGAAGAGAGGAGGUGUCUUAGGCAUGGUGGGUUCAAGAGAAAGGUCCAUGAAAGAAGGAGAUGUAGGAGUUGACACCAACAGCUCGGAUCUUCCCAUGUACUAAGGAGUUUCAAGGAAUUAACACUAGUUCCUUGGCUGUAAGGAAAUCUCUUUCUCUUGUAUAAAGCUUGAGUGUAUGAACAGGUUGUGAUGUUGUGAUGUGAUUGGAAACCUGAGGAUUGUUUAAAAGAUUGCUAAAAUGAAGUUGCUUUAGAAUCUGUCCCAGGAUACUUUAAGAGUCUUGUUUGGGUAUUGAAAUUGUUUAGUAUGCUUAGCUCCGGUUCAUAGUGAUGCUUGUUGUGAUUAAUUAAAUCUGCUUGCAUACAUGGAGUGAAACCGAAUUUGAAGCUGUUGCAUAUAGUCUUGUGGCUGUCUUACAUUGAAGUAUUAGAUUCAUGUCUAAGUACUGAGUAAAGAAGCUCUUAAGAGUGCCUAAGUAACUUGUCUUGAAUCUGUUAGGAUCUUACUUGUACUUAGAGAUUUAGCUUGCAGAGAAUAGAACUUGAUAAUGCCUUGUGUCUAUCUGUUGCAUUGCUUGUGAUAUUGGGAAUCAAACUUGAUAAUUUAUUAAUCAAGAUUUGACAUCAAUACUACUGAAAAUGGUUAAAUGCUUAAUGUCAGUUCUAAAUUAACUUGUCUUGUUAAGAUGAUAGAUUAUAUUAUCUAAUCAUGCUUGCUUUCAUGAGUUAGAAACUGAUUAAGAUUAAUGCAUACUGCCUUGUAUUGUUGCAUUUAGAUUAAAAUCUAAGUUGCAUAAAAUUGCCUAAAUACUUUGACUUGAAUCUGAUAAGGUCUUGCUUAGUAUUUAGAGAAUGGUUGCUUGCAUAGAUAAGAACUUGACAUUGUCUUGAUUCUAUCUAAUGUUAUAAAGCUUGAGACAUUGGUGAUCAAACUUGAUGAAGUCAAGGAUUGAUCCCAAUGCAAUUGUGACUUAUCUUUGCUAGAGUUUGAGUGAUGUUUCAGGUUCACAAAAGGUGUUCCUAGUUCAUCAUCAAAUCCGAGUUGAAAGAGAAAGAAUGAUGCCCAUUGUGUGUACAAUGGAGAAGUGUUACAAAAAGGGAGAAGCACAGAUGGUUGUAAAACUCACUGGUGUUCUUCUCCUUAACAUUGCAAGUACCUGAAGAAGAAGCUAACUGGGUCUAGGCAGUGGCGUGCCUAUUCAAGAGGGUGCUCAAACUAAGACAGAGCACUCUUGGCUGUGUGAAGAAGAAGGCUACUCUAUGAAGGCGGCUUCUAUUGUGAGGUGAUUGAAGAAGUAGCUGAAGCAUCCACAAGCAUUCCAUCAUGGUGGCAAAUUCAGAAGGGUGAUUGCAAUAAGAGAAGAAGAAGAAGUGAGGAUUCAAGUGGCAACGACCACUCCUCAUCACCUUAAACAAGGGAGUAAACCUAGUCUCAUCUAUCUUAAUAUGUCUUGAUAGGUUUAUCUCCUGAUUAUACUAAUUCCAUUAAGAGUUUAUAGCUUCUAAGUAGAAUGUCUAGGCUAAUUGCACUGAGAUUGUUUUGCUGCUGCAUUGUCUUAUUGAUAGUAAGUAAUGUCUAGAGUCCCAGAAUCUCAUGUUCUGUUUAUUGCAUUGUCUUGAGUAUUGUCAUAGCUUGAAUCUUCAUGAAUGUGUUGUAGAAUUGAGUAGAAUGUCUCUGCUGCUUGCAUCAUGAUUGAUAAGUUAUUUUGCAUACUUAGCAUAUCUCAUACUGUCUAAGUUUAAUCCUAGUGUUAUCUGAUGCUAUUGCCUAUGUUUAAUCCAUCAAUGAAAGUCUUGCAUCAAUUAGAAAUUGUCUAAGUUGCUUGCAUCAUUGGUUCUGAUUGAAACUGUUGUGCAGAGCUUUAAAUAUUACUCAUGGAUUGAACCUGUUGCAUUCAUAUAGCUAAUAAUAUUACUCAUGGAUUGAACCUGUUGCAUUCAUAUAGCUAAUGCUUUAAGAUUGUGCAUUCAUGUAGUAAUGCAUUUAAAAAUGAGCCUAAAUUGCAAAUGUACUGAUAUAAGCUUUGCAUUUAGAGAACUGUAUAGAACUUGCAUUGUCAUUGUUAGAAAUUGAAAUCUGCUUGUCUUGACUCAGUCCAGUUCUGAUUGUUGCUAUGCCAUAGUUAAAUCCAUCAGUGAUGUAUUAUAAGCAAAUAGUAGUAUGUCUAAGCUACUUGAAUCAUUGGCUUUGAUAAAACUAGUGAGCAUAAGCAUGAAUUGAGUCACUCUUGUCGUCUUGAUUGCAUAAGUAUCAUCUAGACUUGUGUUCCAUUUGGAUUGAAUCUGUUUCAUUCAUAUAGUUAGUGUGUAACCUAAUGCAUUCAUCUAUUGUUGCAUUUAAAAAAAAAAAAGAAGAAAACAAAACUGAAUUGAUUGUCUUUGCUUGAUUGUCUUGAUUGUCUAGCUUGUCUCAAGUAUCCUAUAUUAUUGUGGCAUUGGUGAUCAAACAGGAUGGAUAAUCUUGGUUUGAUCCCAAUGGGAUGAUCUGAUCUUGCAUUGAGUUGUGGUGGUGUUAGGUACACAAGGAAUGUGAUACAUGAAACUCGCCAACAACCAAGAAUGUAAAGACAAAGAUCUUGUGCCAUUGCAUAUCAUCACUAGGACAUGUUAGUCCAUAAUCUACAGGAAGUGUAGUGUGAUUGAGUAUGCAAUGAGAGAUGGCCAUUGCAUAAUACCAUUGGACAUAUCUAGUCCUUAGUCUACAGGAAGUGUAGCAUGGGUCAUUAUGCAAUGAGAGAUGUGUCUUGUGAGACUCUCUAUGGUGAUUCAAACACCCUAAUUCCUGGUUAAGGAAGAGAGAAAACUCACAAGAAGAAAGCUAUCAUAAAAGAUGAUAGUUAUUAGACCAUGGAGAUGCAUAGGAUCAUCACAAGCUUAGCUCCUUCUAGUCUUGGUUCUAAGCUUGAGGGGGAGUCUUAAUGCAUAUGAUCCAUGGUCAGUAACAAGUCUUUGCAAAGGCUUCUACAAGGAUCAUCAACCGGACCAAGAUAGUGGCGUGUCUAGGCAAGAGGCUGUUCAGAGCAGUCUUGGCGAGUGAAGAAGAACGCUCUCCAUCAAUGCGGCUUCAAUGAGAGGUGAUUGAGGAGAAGCUGAUGAAUCCAUUCUGCCUUUCCAAGAAGUUGGUGAUGCCAUGAAGAUGGUGCAUUGGCCGAGUUAGGAAACUCACAAAAACACAAGGGAAGUUCCCUUAGACUUUUAAAACCUUUUUAUUCAUCUUAUUCAUUGCUUGUGCUUGAAAAGAUACGUAAAAUGAUUAUGAUUGAAUUGUGAGAUUGUGUGCAUCAAGUGUGAUGCAGGAUAUUCAUUUUCUUGUUUUUGAUAGGUACUGAUGCACCUUUGGGAUAAUGUAUCAGGUACCAUUGCUUGAGCCUCACUAAAGGUGUUCCUGGUCAUUUCUAGCUUCUCUAAGGUGGCUGUGAAGUCUGUUGAGAGGGGGAGAUUCAAACCAGUUCUAUGAAGAGGGAAAGCCGUGUGUGAAGUGUUGAUCAACCUCACUGGUGUUUUGAAGAUGAUCUGGUCGUGUCCUAGCUUCUCUAAGAUGGCUGAGAAGUCAGUUGAGAGGGGGAGACUUCAAACCGGUUCCAUGAAGAGGUUUUGAAGAUGAUCUGGUCGUGUCCUAGCUUCUCUAAGAUGGCUGAGAAGUCAGUUGAGAGGGGGAGACUUCAAACCGGUUCCAUGAAGAGGUGAAGCUGAAGUGUGAAGUGUGCGCAAAGCUGUGAAGAGUUGCUGCACCUAUUAGGCCGUGAUCCAGAGCUUCUUGUGUCCAACCACACUGGUUCUAAGGCACAAGAGCUCACUGGCCAAUCCCUAGGCUUUGGAGAGCUCUACUCUUUUUCCCUUGCAAGGUUUUGUCCCAAUGGGUUUUCCUUGUAAGGUUUUUAAUGAGGGAGACUCUUCAGAGUUCCAAGCUUGGCUUAGGAUCUCCUAAAGUCAAGCUUGAGGGGGAGUGUUGAACUGAAGAGAAGAUGGAGCUUGUACAAUAAUAGGGCAAGCUCUAGAAGAUGUCAAGAAGAGUUCAAUCAAGCUUCAGAGGUGUUCAGAAGUAGUUAUCUUGUGAAGAUAAGUCUAGGAAAGACUUAGACUGAUCAUGUGAAGGCUUUGGAGGAGUUAGAGAGAAGAUGGUCCAAGGUGCAAUUAUAGGGCGGCCUUGUACGGCCUGGUACGGCCAAGGGUGAACCAAAAGAGAUGGUGGAUCGACCAAAGAAGUGAGAAAGAGUGUUGGGCAAAUAUAGGGCGAGUGGUACGGACAGGAGGUCCGUACCAUCGACCGUACUGCCAAUCAUCUCGCCCACACAUCCGGUUUAAGCAAUGUUGAAGAAGUGCAAAGUCUGGGCGUGCUUAUCUUGGCUAUGAGGACCGUUGGGAGCUACAGGAAACAAAGGGAAUAUCCCUUAGGAUCAGAGUGGUCCAAGAGACAGGCUGGAAAGAGAAAAGCACUUUACCUUUCCAGCCACCUUUCCACACGAGUCCAUCUUAGCCUUUCAUUCAAAAACGGAUCAAUCCCACCUUCCAUUCAGUCAAGGCACGACCACACUUUCCAGCUAGCAUCAAGACCUGUCUACUCUCAUCCUAGCCAUUCAAUCUAUCAUUUAUUUACAGCCUUAGGAUGUAGGGUUUAUGAGUGUAAUGUAAAGGCAUAUAAAAUCCUUGUAUAUGUGAUUGUAAACACUUAAGUGAGUUAGGGGGAAACCCUUCUCCUUCAUAUUCUGGUUACUAAUCUCUCAGUCUCUAAGUCUCUUGUUCUUGUUCUUAGUCUCUCAUACUCAUAUAAUCUGUCUCCUUAAUCCCUCUAUUAAAUCGCCAUAAACAAAUCCUUAUCUCUCUCCAUUGGAGUUGUUUCACACACAAACAUAACCAGAGAUGAGAACUCUAUAAAUCUCACAUGUUGAUGAUAUCAUUAUCACAGGAAGUGAUAAGGAAGGUAUCAUAGCAACCAAGGAGUUCCUUAAAUCAAUGUUUGAGAUUAAAGACUUGGGAGAAAUGAAAUACUUUCUUGGAAUUGAGAUAUGUAGAUCCAAGGAAGGUUUGUUUAUGUCCCAAAAGAAGUAUACACUUGAUCUUUUGAAAGAUGCAGGUGCUUAUGGAGGCAAGACAGCAAGGAUGCCUAUGGAGGAUGGCUACAAAGUCCCACGAGAGGGGGAGAUUGAAGAUAGCAAAUCUUAUCAGGAUUCUAAACUCUAUAGAAAACUAGUUGGCAAAUUGAUUUACCUUACCAUAACUAGACCUGACAUUUGUUUUGCUGUGAAUCAGGUGAGUCAACACAUGCAAGUGCCUAAGGAGCAUCAUUGGCGCAUGGUGGAGAGGAUCUUGAUGUAUCUCAACGGCUCACCUGAUCAGGGAGUAUGGAUGGGUUGCAAUGGGAGCACUGAAGUGGUUGGAUACUGUGAUGCGGAUUGGGCCGGUGAUAGAGCAGACAGGAGGUCGACCACAGGCUAUUGCACAUUCAUUGGAGGGAACUUGGUAACUUGGAAGAGUAAGAAGCAGAAGGUGGUAUCUUGCUCAAGUGCAGAAGCUGAGUAUAGAGCUAUGCUGAAGCUUACCAUUGAGCUGGUGUGGAUCAAAGGCAUCUUGAAGCAUUUGGAGAUUGAUCAAGCCACACCAAUGACCAUGCAUUGUGAUAACCAGGCCGCAAUCCACAUAGCCUCCAACUCAGUGUUCCAUGAAAGAACCAAGCACAUUGAGGUUGAUUGUCACAAGGUGAGGCAGAUGAUUGUCCUAGGAGUCAUCUUGCCAUGCUACACUAGGAGUGAAGAUCAGUUGGCUGAUGUGUUCACUAAGGCUGCAAGACAAAAGACUAUGGAGUCCAUUCAUAUCAGAUUGGGACACAUAGAUCUUGGGAAGAGAAGGAGCUGAUCCCCUUGGCUGUGAGGUCUUUACUCUUUUUCCCUCAUCAAGGUUUUAUCCCAAUGGGUUUUCCUAGGUGAGGUUUUUAAUGAGGAAGAUCUCAUGGCUAUCCAAGCUUAGGCUUUCACAAAGUUAAGCUUGAGGGGGAGUGUUGAGAUGAGGAAGUCAUAUGAUAAGAGGAGAGAAGUUAGGAGAGUAAUGGGAGAGGGAACGGAUGGCAUGUGUACGGACAGUGUACGGCCAGUACGGAUCAUCUCGACCAUCACUACUCUAAAUCUACUUAAGGACACAUUAUGGGUUGUGCAAAGUUAGGGCAUGAAGUGUACUUGGUGGGAGUAUCCGUACAUCUGAGGGAACGUGAAGUGGAAGGAAGAUGGACGAGUGAAGACUCUGAUAUAUGGAGAAGGUUUGAGAACGGAUCAGACCGUUUGGAGAUAAGGUUGAGACGCGCCUUAUGUAUCCAGGCUUGGACAGGCUGUAAAGCCGAAAGCAUGUGAACACCUUGGUCCGUCCAUUUCAAAAGAGCUUCUUCCUUUAGUGUUGACUCCACAUGCUUAGACUAGUGCCUUAUUCUUUACGUGAAAACCCUAGUGCUUCUCCUAUAUAAGUUGUAAACCCAUCUCUUAAUAAGAUCAGACAGUUCUAUCCAAUUAAUCACACUACUCUGUCAUAAUGAUUCCUCACUAGUCAUCUAAUCACAUAAUCAUCUCCUUUAUUCAUCCUAAAUCAUUCUACUCUUUCACAUACAAACUCAGAUUAUCUAAAACUCUUAUUGAUGGAGUAAUAAGGGUAAAGAGGGUGUGAUCAAGCUCUGACUUCCUGAAGCCUCUCCCAUUCGUGUUGUGCUUAGCUUGUUGUACCAUGCUCUAGGUGAUUGUUUUAACCCGUAGAUGGCUUUCUUAAGUCUGAGCACAUUCCCUGACUUCACCAUUCCUUCAAGACCCGGAGGUGGGAGCAUAUAGACCUCAUCUUCUAGCUCUCCUUGGAGGAAGGCAUUCUUUACAUCCAUUUGCCAAAGAUCCCACCCACGGUUAGUCGCCACUGAUAGUACUAUCCGGAUGGUGUGAAGCUUUGCAACAGGAGCAAAGGUAUCAAUGUAGUCCCUCUCCAUAGGUCUGAGUAAAACCUCUAGCCACCAGCCUUGUCUUGCGCCUAUCAAUCUUCCCAUUAGGUAGAUACUUGAUGGUGAAAAUCCACUUGCAUGACACAGCUCUCUUUCCCUUAGGUAACUCACUCUCAUACCAAGUGUCAUUCUUGAUCAUUGCAUUGGAUUCAGCUCUCACUGAUUCCCUCCACUCCUUGUCCUUCAAUCAUUCUUGACCAUGGCAUCAGCCUCAGCAUUGACUGAAUCCCUCCAUUCUUGAAUGAGCACAGCCUCUUCAUAGCUUCUUGGUACAUAGUUCUCAUCUAAGCUCACUAUGAAAGCACAAUGCUUUUCUGGAUACUCAGCAAAGGAACACACGGCUUGGGAAGGAUGCUCCACAGCCUGGGCAUUGUAGUACACUCUCGUGUUUACCCAGUUGGAAGGGUCCCUCUUCUCCCGUGUGCUUCUUCUCAAAGGCACCACCACUUGUUCCUCAAUAGGUUCUUCUUGAAUCUGGUUUUCUUCUCCAGCUUCUUGACCUUCAUUCUGGUUCUCUCUUACUGAUUCCUCUCCACUUUGGACAGGAGAAUCUGAGCCUUGAUUUCCUAGACCUCCAGCUUCACCUGAGCCUUGAUCUCCUAACCCUUCAGCUUCAGAUUCACUUCCCCCCUCAUGUUCAAAGUGGUUUUGUUCUUCAGCGGCAACUGGAGCAGGUUCUGAACGCCUGCUCUGAUCCUGGGACACUCCAAUACCGAGGUCCUCCAGUAUGUUUCUCAAGCUAGCAGCCUGAUCUGAUGGUUGAGAAAGACUUUCAAGCUCCUCCCAAUUCUUCCCAUCAUAAUAUCCUUUUUCCUCCAUAAACUUGACUUCCCGAGACACCAAGACUCUUCUGGCUGUAGGAUCAAAGCACUUGUAUCCCUUUUGGGAUGUAGAAUAGCCAACAAGCAUAGUCUUAGUGCUCUUUGCUUCUAGCUUAUUUCUCAUCUCACCAGGCACCAAUACAUAACAAACACACCCAAAUGUUCUCAAGUGAUUCAAAACUGGCUUGCUUUUGUUGAGUACCUCAAAAGUGUUGAGAUGAGGAAGUCGUUAUGAGAAGGAGAGGAAGAGUUAAGCAAGUAAUGGGAGAGAGUACGGACAGUACGGCCUAGGUACAGACAGUACGGCCUAUGUACGGAUAGGGGGCUUGGCCGUACAUCUGAGGAAACAUGAAGGAAGAAGGAGAUGGGUGAGUAAAGCCUCUAGAGUGUUAGGUUUUAAGAGCUCAGGUUGUGUGUGUGAGAAGAAGCCACUAAGGGCGAAAUGAGAGCUUGAACUGAAGAGAGAAUGGUCUGAUGAAGAACAGUAUGAACUUGGACAGAAACAAGAGAUUUAGAGAGAUUAAGAGAUUUAAGUAUAAGAAAGGGGUAGUUUGAGGGAUUCUUAUCCAAGAACACACUUUGUAUUAUGAAGGAGGAGGGGAAAUCCCCCUCUCUCUCUUAAGAGAGUUACAUUUCGUCCAUACACGUGCCUUAUAUAGGCUUUACAUGUUUGCAACAUCAUAAACCUAAAUCUAAUGGAUAGAAAUGACUUGAGAUGAAUUGAUGGCUAGGAUGGAGUUGUCUUGUUUGCAAUCUGAGUGAAUUGAUCUGAUUGGAGUAGAGAAUGCUGGCUGGUGAUUGGUUGAUUCAAACUGGUCAAAGGCAAGGGCCGGCUUCUUAUUGGCUUCCCAAAGGCUCCCAUGAAUCUGCCCACAUAAGUGUCUUGAUUCAUGGUCCCCUCUUGGCUUUCUCUUUACACCUCAUGACAGCCUGUCCUUGGACCAGCUACACUCUCUUUCCCUUAUCCAUAAACGUCCAUAUGAGAGGAUAAGGGUGCCUGAUGCUUGUCUGAACCAUCUCCCUAUGUUUGCACAGCUUCUGGUCGAUCCCGGGUGAAGUACAGUCGAUGGUACGGACCGCCUGUCCGUACCUCGCCCUAUUCUUGCACAACCCAUUCAAGUAUCUCCAAUGGUUGAUCCUGACUUAAUAUUGGUCGCCCUAAGUUCGUACGUACCAUCCGUACCGAUGCUCGACCCUAUUUCUGCAACAUCACCCAACUGACUUCAAAUGGUGUCUAAGUAUGCCUAAGUCCUUCCUGGACUUAACCCUAACUUUACACACUUCAUUUGGAUACUUCUGGACACUCCUGAACACUCCUAAAGCCUUGAUAGACAAUCUCCGGAGGUCUUGCCCUAUUCUCGCUCAAGACCCAAACUCAACCCAACUCCUCUUUUGGCUCCAUUUCUUUCUUCAAGUCAACAUAGAGUACACAUAAGGUUUCAAGACUGAUCAGACCGUUUAGGGAUAAGGGCGGGAUGAGCCUUAUCCAUCCAGGCUUUGGACAGGCUGUAAAGGCAAAGCAUGUGAGCUUUGCCAUCCGUUGAAUUCAAAAGAGACGCUCCCCCCUUUGGUUUGACUUCACAUGCUUAUGACUAGUGCUGUUUUCUCUUUACUUGUAAACCCUAAUGCCUCUUCUAUAAAUAUUGUAACCCCAUCUCAGAAUAAGAUUAGACAGUUCUUGACACCAAAACACUCUCUUAGACUCAAAGACUCUCAAUCAUGAUUAUACACUAAACUCUUAGCUAAACUCGUCCCAAAUCACCUCUAGACUCUUUCUAAUCUUUUUCUUUCCUUAUAUCAAACUCAGAUUCUCUAAAUCUCACAUGGUAUCAGAGCCAGGUUCAUCAUAAUCUGGGUUUGAGUACUAGAACACUCAAGAACACACUAGCCGCUUAGCUUUCAUCCGGGUGAGUCUGAAAUGGAAAGCAACAAGGCAGUGGUUCCGGUUACUCUCAAGGGGGGUAACUAUCUUUUGUGGUCUCGUUUGGUGAAGACUGCAGUGGGGAGUAAGGGUUUAUGGGGACACAUCACGCAAAGUGGAGCCCCAAAGCUCAUUACUUAUGAAGGCGACAAGGAGGUCGUCGAGUGUGAUGAAGAGAAGUGGGAGCAGGAAGAUCAGCUGGUGAUGUCCAUACUCCAACGGUCUCUUGAAGUGUCUAUCCUGGAGGCUUACAGCUACUAUGAGACAGCAAAGGAUCUUUGGGACACGUUGAAGAAGGUUUAUGGUAACAUCUCAAACUUGAGCCGUGUGUUUGAAGUGAAACGUGCUAUCAACAGCUUGACGCAUGAAGACAUGGAGUUUACAAAGCACCUUGGGAAGUUCAGAGCUUUGUGGUCCGAGCUGGAAAUGCUGAGGCCAGGCACAACCAACCUAGAUGAGCUAGCUGAGAGACGCGAGCAAGAUAAGGUGUUUGGGUUGCUGCUCACGCUGAAUCUGAGCUACAACAGCCUCAUCAAACACAUCCUGAGGUCCGGAAAGCUACCUAGCCUUGAAGAAGUGUGUGCACGAGUUCAGAUGGAGGAAGGUUCUAUUGGUCUCUUUGGAGGGAAAGGAGAGAUCACACUUGCAAACCAAGCUGAGGUUCCGCAAGCAAACCGUGCAAGCUCUAGCCAGUAUGAUGGAAAGAAGUUUACGGGAAAUUGUGAUCACUGCAAGAGACAAGGACACAAGAAGAACCAGUGCUGGAUAUUGCAUCCUCACCUGAAGCCGGCUAAGUUCUCAAGAGAGAAAGAUGGGAGAGCCAAUGUCACGUAUGCUUUAAGUGAGCCGGGAAGUUCAAGUGUGGCUGGGAGCUCAGGCCAAGCUGGAGAGAGCAGUGUACGUGAGCUUGGAGACAGCAAGGCACUGGUGACUUACACAGCUCAACCAAGCCAUCAGAGCAUUCAUGAGCAUGAGUAUCUGAGGAGAUCAGACCUUGGUUCCCUCAUUAAAAUGCUAACGGAGAAUGGCAACACACUUGGUACUCUUGGUUACUCUUUUGGUGCAUCAUAUGAACCGUGUAGCAUUGCUAGAGAACCUGAUCAGUCAAGCAUUGCUUAUAAACCUACUAGCAUACUAGGACAGUCUCAUAUUGCACACUACCUGUUUAAACCAUUGAUAGUUGAUUCAAGAGCAUCUCAUCAUAUGAUUAGUGAUACUAGUUUGAUUAGAGACAUUGAACCUACUAAUGGACAUGUAAUGAUUGCAAAUGGGGAUAAAAUCCCAAUUAGAGGAAUUGGCAAGCUGAAAUUGUUUGAUAAAGAAUCUAAAGCCUUCUAUAUGCCUGACUUCACAUCAAAUCUUUUAUCUGUAAAGAAAUGCACUAAUGAUCUUAAUUGCAAUGUUAUAUUCAGUCCUAAUGAUGUGAAGUUUCAGGAUAUUGAGAGCAGCUAAUUGAUUGGAAAAGGAGUUACCAAAGGAGAUUUAUACUUACUUGAAGAACUAGCUCCUGUUUCUGAUUACUUAUGCUCAUUUACCUCUGAGUCUAUGAUGAAUAAAAAUGCAUUGUGGCAUGCUAGACUAGGUCAUCCCCAUGUUAGGGCUUUAAACUUAAUGUUACCAGGUGUGGUAUUUGAAAAUAGGGAUUGUGAAGCUUGCAUUUUAGGCAAGCAUUGUAAAACUGUGUUUCCCAUUUCAUCUACUGUUUAUGACAAAUGCUUUGAUUUGAUUCACUCUGAUGUUUGGACUGCUCCUUGCUUGUCUAGGGAUAGUUUUAGAUACUUUGUCACAUUCAUAGAUGAAAAAUCGAAAUACACCUGGAUAACACUAAUUCAAACCAAAGAUAGGGUGCUUGAAGCUUUUAAAAAUUUUCAAAACUAUGUGACUAACCAUUACAAUGCCAAGAUUAAAAUUUUGAGAUCAGAUAAUGGUGGGGAAUACACUGGUCAAGCCUUCAAGCAACAUCUAGCACAACAUGGGAUACUACACCAAACGAGUUGUCCUUAUACUCCUCAGCAAAAUGGAGUGGCUGAGAGAAAGAAUAGGCAUCUCAUGGAGGUGGCAAGGUCAAUGAUGUUUCAAGCAAAUGUUCCUAAGAGGUUUUGGAGUGAUGCUGUGGCUACAUCUUGUUAUCUAAUCAACCGGAUCCCAACUAAGAUUCUACAUGAUCAGUCACCUUUUGAAGCCUUGAACAAGUACAAGCCAUCAUUGGAGCAUAUGCGAAUCUUUGGAUGUCUAUGCUUUGUCCUUAGGCCAAAAGAGUUGAGAAACAAGCUUUAAGCAACCAGCACAAGAGCUAUGUUUGUUGGCUUCUCUACUACUCAAAAGGGUUACAAGUGCUAUGAUCCUACUACUCGAAGAGUUCUAGUCUCUAGAGAUGUAAAGUUCAUUGAAGCUAAGGGGUUCUAUGAGGAAAAGAAUCAAGAUGAGCUGCUAGAGUUGACAAGAGAGUCAGAUAGAGCGGCCAGCCUUAGAAGUAUUCUAGAGGGGCUUGGGAUACAUACUACCCAGGAUCCGAAGGAGAGACGCAGUACAACAACCACACAACCUACCGAGGCAUCAAAUGUAGAUCAUGGGGGGGAAAACACACCUGAACCAGCUGAAGUACAUGUUGAAAGCCAUGAUCAAGAAGGCUCAGGUGAUCAUGAUAAAAGUAUGAUGCAGGAAGAUAGGGAGGUACCAAGCCAAGAUCAAGAGGAGGAAACUAAUGCAACUACAACUGAACCUGAACCAGAGCCGGCGGUGCAGCCAUUGAGAAGAAGCACCAGAGUGAGAAAGGAUAGUUCCAACUGGGUAAACACGAGAGUGUACUACAAUGCCCAGGCUGUGGAACAUCCCUCUCAAGCUGUGUAUUCCUUUGCUCAUUAUCCAGAAGAACAUUGUGCCUUUAUGGUAAGCUUAGAUGAGAGCCAUGUACCAAAGUCAUAUGAGGAAGCCAUGAAGGACAAGGAGUGGAGGGAAUCAGUGAGAGCUGAAUCCAAUGCAAUGAUCAAGAAUGACACUUGGUAUGAGAGUGAGUUACCUAAAGGAAAGAGAGCAGUGUCUAGUAGAUGGAUCUUUACAAUCAAGUACCAAGCAAAUGGACAGAUUGAUAGAAAGAAGACUCGUUUGGUUGCAAGAGGAUUCACUCAAACAUAUGGAGAGGAUUAUAUAGACACAUUUGCGCCAGUUGCUAAGCUACAUACCAUCAGGAUUGUCCUAUCACUUGCGGUGAAUCUUGAGUGGGGCUUGUGGCAAAUGGAUGUAAAGAAUGCAUUCCUACAAGGAGAACUAGAAGAUGAAGUGUAUAUGUUACCUCCUCCUGGUCUAGAGCACUUAGUGAAGAAAGGGAAUGUUCUCAGACUAAAGAAAGCUAUCUAUGGUCUGAAACAAUCACCAAGGGCAUGGUACAACAAGUUGAGCACAACUCUGAAUGGAAGAGGCUUUAGGAAGUCAGAGCUUGAUCAUACUCUCUUUACACUCAACACACCUUCAGGUAUUGUCGUUCUACUUGUAUAUGUAGAUGACAUCAUUAUAACAGGUAGUGAAAAAGAAGAGAUACAAGCCACUAAAGACUUUCUUAAAUCUGUUUUUGAGAUUAAAGACUUAGGAGAGAUGAAAUACUUCCUUGGGAUUGAGAUAUGUAGAUCUAAGGAAGGUUUGUUUCUAUCCCAAAGAAAGUAUACACUUGAUCUAUUGAAAGAUGCAGGUAAGCUUGAUGGAAAGACGGCCAAGACUCCCUUGGAAGAUGGAUACAAGGUUCCACGUGAGGGGGAGAUUGAAGACAGUCCACCAUUCAAGGAUGCAAAGCUUUAUAGAAAGCUAGUGGGUAAGCUCAUAUACCUAACCAUCACACGUCCUGAUAUUUGUUUUGCUGUGAAUCAGGUGAGUCAGCAUAUGCAAGUUCCAAAAGAACAUCAUUGGGGAAUGGUGAACCGGCUCUUGAUGUAUCUUAAUGGCUCAGCUGAUCAAGGAGUGUGGAUGGGGUGUAAUGGGAGUACUGAAGUUGUAGGCUACUGUGAUGCAGAUUGGGCAGGAGAUAGAGCAGAUAGAAGGUCCACAACCGGCUACUGCACAUUCAUUGGAGGGAACUUAGUAACUUGGAAGAGUAAGAAGCAGAAGGUGGUCUCAUGCUCAAGUGCUGAAGCUGAAUACCGAGCCAUGCUGAAGCUGACUAAUGAGCUUGUAUGGAUCAAAGGGAUACUGAAGCACUUGGAAAUUAUUCAAUCCACUCUAAUGACCAUGCAUUGCGACAACCAGGCUGCUAUACACAUUGCCACCAACUCAGUCUUCCAUGAGAGAACCAAGCACAUUGAAGUAGAUUGUCACAAGGUGAGGCAAAUGAUUCUUCUUGGAGUCAUCUUACCAUGUUACACACGAAGUGAAGAUCAGCUAGCAGAUGUGUUCACAAAGGCAGCAAGGCAGAAGACAAUUGAGUCCAUUCAUAGCCGGCUAGGACUCAUUGAUCUCACAAGAAGGAGCUAAGCCCCUUAGCUAUGAGGUCUUUACUCUUUUCCUUAUCAAAGUUUUGUCCCAAUGGGUUUUCUUUGGUAAGGUUUUUAAUGAGGAAGAUCUCAUGGCUAUCCAAGCUUAGACUUUCACAAAGCUAAGCUUGAGGGGGAGUUUUGAAAUGAAGUCAUGAGAUAAUGAGGCUAAGAUAGAGUAAAGGAAAGGAAAUAGGAGAGUUGGAGUCGACCCAAGCCGUACCAUCCGUACUGACCGUACAGGCCGUACCGGUUAAAGUCACCCACACCUCGACCAGAUUGAAGUUACCAUGAUCAAGUAACUUAAGAGUGAAAGGAGAAGUUACUUGGGGUAACUACUGGCUCGUGUGACCGUUUGGAGAGGAUAAGGAAGAGCUUAGCCAGGCUGUCAAGAGCUGGAUAAGGCUAAAGGUGCUUUAUCACAAAGGAGAAGCUUAUUGGAGAGUUUAAAUUAAAGCAACUCCUUAUCCCUUACAAUAGUGACCAUUUGCGAAACCCUUAACCUAUUGUAGCCUCUCUAUAUAUUGUAGACACUCAUGAUUAAUAAGAUCAGACAGUUCUUGACACCAAAACACUCUCUUAGACUCAAAGUCUCUCAAUCAUGAUCAUACACUAAACUCUUAGCUAAACUCGUCCUAAAUAACCUCUAGACUCUUUCUAAUCUCUUUCUUCCCUUAUAUCAAACUCAGAUUCUCUAAAACUUAUACUCUACAGCAUCAACUGAGACCCCCUCUUGGUCUUCUUCCUGAGUAAUGAGCUUUGGAGCUUCACCGGUUGUGAUAUGACUCCACAAGCCCUUACUCGCAAUGGUUGUCUUCACCAGCCGGGACCAAACCAAGUAGUUGCUUCCCUUGAAGGUAAUCGCCACUUUCAUCUUCAUGUUCUCCAUAUUGUCACAGCUUAACUUCAAAAACUUGAGAGAGAUGGAGCUUUGAACGGAUGACUCUUGUAUGAAUGGAUCUUAACUUGUUUAGAACUCGCGCACACACCAAAUGAACACCCUUGAGCUUUGAUCUUCCUCGGAUGGCUUCAAAGCUUCACCUUUGUUCUUCAGUGUCUCAAAAUAAGAACGCAGAUUCUUUGGAACCUGGCUCUGAUACCAUAAGAGUUUUAGAUAAUCUGAGUUUGUAUGUGAAAGAGUAGAAUGAUUUAGGAUGAAUAAUGGAGAUGAUUAUGUGAUUAGAUGACUAGUGAGGAAUCAUUAUGAAAGAGUAGUGUGAUUAAUUGGAUAGAACUGUCUGAUCUUAUUAAGAGAUGGGUUUACAACUUAUAUAGGAGAAGCACUAGGGUUUUCACAUAAAGAAUAAGGCACUAGUCUAAGCAUGUGGAGUCAACACUAAAGGAAGAAGCUCUUUUGAAAUGGACGGACCAAGGUGUUCACAUGCUUUCGGAUUUACAGCCUGUCCAAGCCUGGAUAGAUAAGGCGCGUCUCAACCUUAUCUCCAAACGGUCUGAUCCGUUCUCAAACCUUCUCCAUAUAUCAGAGUCUUCACUCGUCCAUCUUCCUUCCACUUCACGUUCCCUCAGAUGUACGGAUACUCCCACCAAGUACACUUCAUGCCCUAACUUUGCACAACCCAUAAUGUGUCCUUAAGUAGAUUUAGAGUAGUGAUGGUCGAGAUGAUCAGUAUUGGCCGUACACUGACCGUACUGUCCGUACACAUGCCAUCCGUUCCCUCUCCCAUUACUCUCCUAACUUCUCUCCUCUUAUCAUAUGACUUCCUCAUCUCAACAAUCAGGAAUCAUUGUUCUGCUUGUGUAUGUGGAUGAUAUCAUCAUAACAGGCAGUGAUAAGGAAGGAAUCAAAGCCACCAAGGAAUUCCUGAAGUCAGUCUUUGAUAUAAAGGACUUGGGAGAGAUGAAGUACUUCUUUGGGAUUGAGUUAUGUAGAUCAAAGGAAGGAUUGUUUAUCUCUCAAAGAAAGUAUGCAUUGGAUCUCUUGAAGGAUGCUGGUGCUUAUGGAGGGAAAAUAGCCAAAAUGCCCAUGGAGGAUGGGUAUAAGAUUCCACGUGAGGGGGAGCUAGAAGAUAGCAAGCUGUUCCAUGAUCCAAAGCUGUAUAGAAAGCUUGUGGGGAAGCUGAUAUACUUAACCAUCACACGGCCAGACAUUUGCUUUGCUGUGAAUCAAGUAAGCCAGCAUAUGCAAGCUCCAAAGGAGCAUCACUGGCGCAUGGUUGAGAGAGUUCUCAUGUACUUGAAUGGAACUCAAGGGCUUGGUAUAUGGAUGGGUUGCAAUGGAAGCACUGAAGUUGUGGGUUAUUGUGAUGCCGAUUGGGCAGGUGAUAGAGCAGAUAGAAGGUCUACAACAGGCUACUGCACAUUCCUUGGAGGAAACAUGAUUACGUGGAAGAGUAAGAAGCAAAAGGUGGUAUCAUGCUCUAGUGCUGAAGCUGAGUAUAGAGCUAUGCUUACGCUCACCAACGAGUUGGUGUGGAUCAAGGGGAUCCUAAAUCAUUUGGAGAUUGAGCAAGCGACACCAAUGACCAUGCAUUGUGACAAUCAAGCGGCCAUUCACAUUGCUACCAACUCAGUGUUUCAUGAGAGAACAAAGCACAUUGAAGUAGACUGCCACAAGGUAAGGCAGAUGAUAGUCUUAGGGGUGAUCUUGCCAUGUUACACAAGGAGUAAAGAUCAGUUGGCAGAUGUAUUCACCAAGGCAGCUAGGCAAAAGAUCAUGGAGUCUAUACACAUCAGGUUAGGACUCAUUGAUCUUUCAUCUAAGGGCUAAUCUACACACUCUCCUGAUCAUGAGGUCUUUACUCUUUUUCCCUCAUCAAAGUUUUGUCCUAAAUGGGUUUUCUUUGGUGAGGUUUUUAAUGAGGGAGAGCUCAUGGUCCUUCCAAGCUUUGACUUGUUCCACAUGGUCAAGCUUGAGGGGGAGUGUUGAGAUAAGCAGAAUAAUAUAUGAGAAGAGGUGUCUUGAGUAUUGGAGAGAAGAUGAGAUGAUGAGGGAAAGAAGAGAAGAAAUGCCGUAGGGCGAUCCGUUCUUACCAGGCCAUAAGGAAAGAGGAGAAGAAAUGCCUUAGGGCGAUCCGUUCUUACCAGGCCGUACAUGGCCGUACGGUUCAUGCGAAUAGUAGUCGACCCAAACUCGACCUAAGAAGAAAAGAAGUUACCAAGGUAGAAAGGUAAGUCGACCAGAGUUACUGAGAGACUUAACCCUAUCCUAUCUGACCGUUGGAAGAAAGGAGAGAGCAUCUAGACAGGCUGGCUCAGCCUGGAUGGAUAAGGUUCUUCCUUUGGUACAUGUGAAGCUUCUGAUUGGUCCUAGUUUGAAUUAAAGCAACCUUAUCCUUUGACUUUGUUAACUUGAAGAAAAGAAAUGGUGUCAAAGGAGAAGUAUGGAGGAGUUUGGGUCUGGUUCAAAGAUAGGACAAGUCUUAUAAAGAUUGUCUAUCAAGCUUCAGAAGUGUCUGAUGAGCUCCAGAAGUGUUCUAAGGGCUGUGCAAAGAUAGGGCCAAGUCCAGGAGGGACUUAGAAGAUGGUUUAGGCACAAAUGACAUCAUGUCCCUUGAUUCAAACUGAAGUGAUCCCAUCCAUUCAAGCCAGCCUGUCCGAGCUGUAUCUUCAGCCAAUAAGGAGACAUCACUCAGAUUACAUUGACCAGCCCAAGACUCAAUCCUAGGCGUCCAUAUUCUAAAGCAAGUUCAACCAUUAGAUGUAGGUUUAUGAUUUGUAACCUGCAUUGUAUUUAAAGACCCUAAAGGGGCGUUUUUGUAUCUCCUAAGGGAGUAAGGGGGGAUUUCCCCUCUCCACUUCAUGAAUGAUAAACUUGUUCUUGAAUCUGAAACCCUAAUCUCUAAUCUCUUAUUCUCCUAAUCUCCCAGUCUCUUAAUCUCUGUUCCUAAGUCUCUUAUUCUCUCAUAAACAUUCUCAUCAAUCUCUCUUUCUAAAUUACCUAGAGCAAGCUCUCAUCUUUCUCCAUUAGAGUUUAUACACACACACAUACAACCAGAGAAGAGAACUCUACAAAUUUCAUAUGGUAUCAGAGCCAGGUUCAUCAGAACCUGAGCUGUGGACUUGCGGAGCUGAAGCUUCCGCAAGUCCACAGCUCACGCCUCAGCUCAAAACUAAACCAUUGAACCUUUCCCAUCCAGUUCAGUCCCUUGUAAAGAAGAAGGCUGAAGCUUGGCGAGUUCCCUUGGUUCCUCAUCCUGUUCUCUACCUGCUCAGAUGGAGAUUAUCCUUGGAGGCAAAGGUGUAUGGAGAGGCCUAACUAACCUGACUCCAAGUCUCCUUGUCCAAGAGAAGUUUCACAUCAGGCUACAAGAGUAUGGUGUCAAGAGCUUGGCACCUAGAUGUUCUGAAGAAAGGAGGGGUCUUUUGAGUUGAUGGUACAAGAUGGUGGCCAUGAACUGAAGGAGAAGGAGGUGGGUGAUGAUCCAGACUCUCAGUUCCAACAACAGUCAUGGCCGGUUUCACAAAAUGCAAAAGGAAUCAACCUGGUUCCUUGUUGUAAGCGAUUCUAUAAACCAUCUUGAUAAUGAGCUUGUGUUGUUGACUGGUUGUGAUGAUGUGAUGUGAUUGAAAACCUGAGGAUUGUUUAAAAGAUUACUAAAUGAAAUAAAAUGAAUUUAGAAUCUGUCCCAGGAUACUUAAAGAGCUUGGCUUCCUAGUAAUCCAAAAAUCUUACUAAUUAUACUAGGCUUACUAGCAGCAGUGUAAGCGCAUUUAAAAAUGUCUAGUAACUUAUAAGUAUUACUAGGAUUACUAGAUAUGUUAAUAUGCUUAGCUCCGGUUCAUAAUGAUGCUUGUUGUGAUUGAUUGAAUCUGCUUGCAUACAUGGAUUGAAACCGAAUUGAAAGCUGUUGCAUAUAGUCUUGUGGCUGUCUUACAUUGAAGCAUUAGAUUCAUGUCUAAAUGCUGAGGAAAGAAGCUUUAAAAAUGUCUAAGUAGCUUGCAUAAAUCUAAAAAGAAAGUGCUUGUGCUUAGAGAGAUUGCUUGCAAAGAUAGAACUUGAAAAUGACUUGUUUUAAUCUAUUGCAAUGCUAGUGAGAUUGGGAAUCAAACUUGAUGAUUAAUCAAGGAUUGAUCCCAAUACUCUUGUGUCUUAUCCUUGCUAGAGUUUGAGUGGUGUUUCAGGUUCACAAGAAGUGUUCUUUGCCCACCACCUAUCCAAGACAAGAGGAAGACUUGAACCAUUGUGUGGAGCAAUGGGAAGAUACUUGUGUGUAGAAGCUGGUUUAAGAAGCGCAGGCCACGAGGUUGUUGAGCUCCUGGUUCAAGACAUACAAGCGGAAGACUUGACCAUUGUGUGGAGCAAUGGGAAGGUUCUUGUGUGUAGAAGCCGGUUUAAGAAGCGCAGGCCACAAGGUUGUUGAGCUCCAGGUUCAAGACACACAAGAAGAAGAAGGUCACCACCUAAGCCAUGAGGAAGGCCGGUGAUCUGAGGGUACUUGAAGCUGAAGGCAAAAGAGUGGAUCAGUGAUUUAAGCGCAGCUGUUAAGGUGAUGUGCUCCUGGUCUUGAAGUUCAUUGAGGCUCAUUUCAAGCUUGGAUCUCCCCUAUACUCGGUCUCAAGCUUGCGGUGGGUAUUCAAAUGAGCAACCUGAAGAGCCAAAGUUCAAGACAUGUUUCCUCCUUAUCAUUACAAGAGAAUGAUAAGAUGAAGCCCGUUGCCAACAUUCUGUGGAGAAGUCCACAGCCUGCUCCAAAGAGGGUAGAGAGGAUGUUGUGACAAUGGAGAAAUGAAGCCUAUUGCCAACAUUCUGUGGGAAGUCCACAGCCUGCUCCAAAGAGGGUAGAGAGGAUGUUGUGACAAUGGAGAAAUGAAGCCUAUUGCCAACAUUCUGUGGGAAGUCCACAGCCUGCUCCAAAGAGGGUAGAGAGGAUGUUGUGACAAUGGAGAAAUGAAGCCUAUUGCCAACAUUCUGUGGGAAGUCCACAGCCUGCUCCAAAGAGGGUAGAGAGGAUGUUGUGACAAUGGAGAGAUGACUUGCGGUUCUGUCCAUGGUGGUUGAAUCACCAUAGCCUACACAUCAGAUGAGUGUAGAGAGGACAGUAGACAUGCAAGGAAGAACAUCACCAGGAGGGUGAUGCAAUUAAGACCAAGACCAUUGCAAGCUGAUCAUGGAGUGAUCUAGCCGAAGUAGAGGGAAAAAGAAAGCUACUCAAUAAACUUCUGGUGUGAGAUGCUUAGAGAGUGAGCUGAGGUAUCUCCUCAGUGCAAUGGUGGUUAAGUGGGGCUGUAAGCAUCAAGUCUGAAGAAGAUGGAGGUGUUCCCGCAAUAAUAAUCAUGGAGCUUAGUAUGUGCUCACCUUCAAGCUUGGAUCUUCCCUAUACUCGGUCUCAAGCUUGAGGGGGAGUGUUGUUGAGCUUGCAUGAUAAGAGAAGGAGCUGAUAAGCUCAGCAAGUGAGGGGUUCAAGUGGUGUGUGAAGAGCAGCCACUCCUCACCAAAGCAAAAGGAGCUAGGCAUGUCUUACCUGAUGGAGAUGGCAAGAAGCCACGAGAAAAGGGAAGACUCAGGCCGGUCCAGUCACUCCUCACGAAAGAAAAAGGGAAGUUUCCCUUAACUCAAUUCAAUUCAUCAUUGUCAACAUAUCUAGUAAUCUAUCAAGAAUACUAGUUUUACUAAAGAAGAGUUGUUAAGCCUCAUUUGAAUUCGUUAGGAAUACUAGUUUUACUAGACGGUAACAUAUCUAGUAAUAUAUAAGGAAUACUAGUCUUACUAAGACGGUCAAUAAACAUGAAUUGAUUGAGUUAUGUUCUUUGAUAAGUACUAAUACACUUGUGGAAUAAUGUAUCAGGUACCUUACUUGGAGACUCAACAGAGAGGAUCAGGUCGCUCCUAGCCUUUCAAGAUGGCAUGGAGUCCGGUGAAAGGGGGAGAUACUAAACCGGUUCUAUAGAAGAGUCCAAGAAGGUGUGUAAAGUGUGCGCAAGCCUUGAAGUGUUGCUGCACCUGGUUAGGCCGUGAUCCAGAGCUUCUUGUAUCAAACCACACUGGUUCUAAGGCACAAGAGCUCACUGGCCAAUCCCUAGGCCCUGUUGGCUCUACUCUUUUUCCCUUAUCAAGGUUUUGUCCCAAAGGGUUUUCCUUGGUGAGGUUUUUAAUGAGGGAGUUCUUCAAGGUUCCAAGCUUGACUUAGGAUCACCUAGAUAAGCCCUCAAGGUAACAUCUUCUUGUUACCGUUUCACUUGGUCGAGGUUGGGUAACUUCUGGUUGAGACAUUUGGUACGGACGGUACGGCCAUGUACGGCCUUGUACGGCCGUCCGUACCAUGCUUGCCCAAAGUCCCCUCAUUCUCUUUCUCCUCUUCUCUUCAACUCCUUAUCUCUUCAUAUCCAUAUACUCAACUCAUCUCAACAAUAGCAACACUCAGAACUGGACUGAGUCAAGACAAGUAGAUUUCAAUCUCUAACAAUGACAAUACAAGUUCUAGACACUACAUUGACAUCCUAGGUUAUUAUGAUUAUUAAGUUCUCUAAAUGCAAUGCAAGCUUACAUCAGUACAUUUGAAAUUUAGGCUCAUUUUUAAAUGCAUUACUACAUGAAUGCACAAUCUUAAAUCAUUACCUAUAUGAAUGCAACAGGUUCAAUCCAUGAUUAAUAUUAAAGCUAUGCACAACAGUUUCAAUCAGAACCAAUGAUGCAAGCAACUUAGACAAUUUCUAAUUGAUGCAAGACUUUCAUUGAUGGAUUAAACAUAGGCAAUAACAUCAGAUAACACUAGGAUUGAACUUAGACAGUAUGAGAUAUGCUUAUGUAUGCAAAAUAACUUAUCAAUCAUGAUGCAAGUAGCAGAGACAUUCUACUCAAUUCUACAACACAUUCAUGAUGAUUCAAGUUUAUGACCACACCCAAGACAAUGCAAUAAACAGACCGUGAGAUUCUGGGACUCUAGACAUCACUUACUAUCAAUAAGAUAUAAGAUUUAAGGAUGUAAAUGAUUAUCUGAGUUUAGAAAGGAUUAUAGAAGGAGAAUAAGAGAUUAAGAGACAGCUUAGAGACUAAUGGAGAAUCAUAAUGAAAUGAGUAAAGAGAGAGAUUGUUUAGAACUGUCUAAUCUUUAUUAAUGAUGAGCUCACAAUAUAUAUAGGUCCAUACACAUUAGGUUUUCGAAAUCAUAAGGAUAAGCAAGCAUGUAGAGUCAAAGAUGAGCUGGUGCUUUAGUUUGAAUCGGCCAAUGAGUGUCCUCACACGUUUGGAGCAUCUUCCUUAUCCAAGAGUAGAUGCUCUUCCUUUCCUGCCCUUGCCAUCCUGUCCUAGCUGUCAAGCCGCGCCUCCCUUAUCCUCUCAACGUUCGGAUAAGGCCUUGGCCGAGUGUAACUUCACCUCAGUACAUAAGAGUUACCCGGAUAGUUACUUGGCCGCUUUCACCUUGUACGGACGCUCACUUGUACGGCCUGGUACGGCCUCUCCGUCCGUACCAUCCCUAUCAGCCCAUUCCUCCUCUUAACUCCUUGCUCUCCUUAUGUUCUCAACUCCUUUGUGUCUUUACCUCAAAUGUCUCAACUCAUCUCAACACUCCCCCUCAAGCUUAGCUUUGUGAAAGCCUAAGCUUGGAUAGCUAUGAGAUCUUCCUCAUUAAAAACCUCACCAAGGAAAACCCAUUGGGACAAAACCUUGAUGAGGGAAAAAGAGUAAAGACCUCACAGCCAAGGGGAUCAGCUCCUUCUCUUCCCAAGAUCAAUGAGGCCCAACCUGAUGUGAAUGGACUCCAUUGUCUUUUGUCUUGCAGCCUUGGUGAACACAUCAGCCAACUGAUCUUCACUCCUCGUGUAGCAUGGUAAGAUGACUCCUAGGAUGAUCAUUUGCCUCACCUUGUGGCAAUCAACUUCAAUGUGCUUGGUUCUCUCAUGAAACACCGAGUUGGAGGCAAUGUGAAUGGCUGCUUGGUUAUCACAGUGCAUUGUCAUAGGCGUGGCUUGAUCAAUCUCCAAAUGCUUCAAGAUGCCUUUGAUCCACACCAGCUCGUUGGUAAGUUUCAGCAUAGCUCUAUACUUUGCUUCUGCGCUUGAGCAAGAGACCACCUUCUGCUUCUUACUCUUCCACGUAACCAAGUUGCCUCCAAUGAAUGUGCAAUAGCCUGUGGUUGAUCUCCUGUCUGCUCUAUCACCAGCCCAAUCCGCAUCACAGUAUCCAACCACUUCAGUGCUCCCAUUGCAACCCAUCCAUACUCCUUGAUCAGGUGAGCCGUUGAGAUACAUCAAGAUCCUCUCCACCAUGUGCCAAUGAUGCUCCUUAGGAACUUGCAUGUGUUGACUCACCUGAUUCACAGCAAAACAAAUGUCAGGUCUAGUUAUGGUAAGAUAAAUCAAUUUGCCAACUAGUUUUCUAUAGAGUUUAGGAUCCUGAUAAGGUUUGAUGUCUUCAAUCUCCCCCUCUCGUGGGACUUUGUAACCAUCCUCCAUAGGCAUCCUUGCUGUCUUGCCUCCAUAAGCACCUGCACCUUUCAAAAGAUCAAGUGUAUACUUCCUUUGGGACAUGAAUAAACAUUCCUUGGAUCUACAUAUCUCAAUUCCAAGAAAGUAUUUCAUUUCUCCCAAGUCUUUAAUCUCAAACAUGGAUUUAAGGAACUCCUUGGUUGCUAUGAUACCUUCCUUAUCACUUCCUGUGAUAAUGAUAUCAUCAACAUACACAAGAAGUGCAAUCAUACCUGAGGAAGUCGUGAGUGUGAAGAGAGUGUGAUCUAGUUCAGACUUCUUGAAGCCUCGGCCAUUCAGAGUAGUGCUCAGCUUGUUGUACCAAGCUCUUGGUGAUUGCUUCAGCCCAUAGAUAGCUUUCUUCAAUCUCAACACAUUCCCUCUCUUCACUAAGUGUUCAAGGCAUGGAGGUGGAUGCAUAUAUACUUCAUCCUCAAGUUCACCAUGUAGAAAUGCAUUCUUCACAUCCAUUUGCCAUAACCCCCAUCCAAGAUUCACAGCCAAGCUUAAUACAAUCCGGAUUGUAUGUAGUUUAGCUACUGGUGCAAAGGUUUCUAUGUAAUCUUCUCCAUAAGUUUGAGUGAAACCUCUUGCUACUAGCCUUGACUUCUUCCUCUCAAUCUUUCCAUCAGCCUUAUACUUGAUUGUGAAUAUCCAUCUACUACUCACAGCCUUCUUCCCUUUUGGUAACUCACUCUCAUACCAUGUAUCAUUUUUGAUCAUAGCUCCUGCCUCAACUCCAACUGAUUCCUUCCAUUCUUUAUCCAUGAUUGCUUCUUCAUAGCUUCUUGGAAUAUAGUUCUCAUCCAAGUUAACCAUGAAUGCACAAUGUUCUUCAGGGUAUUGGGCAAAGGAACACACAACUUGAGAAGGAUGCUCCACAGCUUGGGCAUUGUAGUACACUCGCGUGUUUACCCAAGAGGAAGGAUCCUUUCUAAGCCUUGUGCUUCUCCUCAAUACUGGUUGUUCUUGCUCUUGAACCGGCUCAGCUUGUGUAUGCGGUUCUUGUGCUUCACUCUGAUGUUCUUCAUCUCCUUGGUCUUGCUCACCUUGAUGAUGAGAACCUGAGUUAAAUUCUUCUCCUUCUUCACUCAAGCCGACUCCUUCUUGGCCAUUUUCUUGAGUUUCAGGUUCACUUCCCCCCUCAUGAUCAAGGUGAGGUGUUUGAGCAGCUCUACUUGGUUCAGUUGAGCUCUCUUCCGGUUGUCCACUUCUUGUGGACUGAUCCUGGUUCAUCUUGAUACCGAGACCUUCCAAAAUAAUCCUUAAGUCUUCUUGAUUCUUCUCUUCAUAGUUACCCGGAUAGUUACUUGGCCGCUUUCACCUUGUACGGACGCUCACUUGUACGGCCUGGUACGGCCUCUCCGUCCGUACCAUCCCUAUCAGCCCAUUCCUCCUCUUAACUCCUUGCUCUCCUUAUGUUCUCAACUCCUUUGUGUCUUUACCUCAAAUGUCUCAACUCAUCUCAACAUAAGACAAUGCAGCAGCAAAACAAUUUCAGUGCAAUUAGCCUAGACAUUCUACUAGAAGCUAUAAACUCUUAAUGGAAUUAGGGAAAGCACAUAGUAUAAUCAGGAGAUAAACCUAUCAAGACAUAUUAAGAUAGAUGAGAUUAGGUUUACUCCCUUGGUUAAGAUGAUAAGGAGUGGUUCUCAAAGUUACCACUUGAAUCCUUACUUCUUCUUCUUCUCUUAUUGCAAUCACCCUUCUGAAUUCACCACCAUGAUGGAAUGCUUGUGGAUGCUUCAGCUACUUCUUCAAUCACCUCACAAUAGAAGCCGCCUUGAUAGAGUAGCCUUCUUCUUCACACAGCCAAGAGUGCUCUGUCUUAGUUUGAGCACCCUCUUGAAUAGGCACGCCACUGCCUAGACCCGGUUGGCUUCUUCUUCUGGUACUUGCAAUGUUAAGAAGAAGAACACCAGUGAGUUUUACAACCAUCUGUGCUUCUCCCUUCUUGUAACACCUCUCCAUUGUACACACAAUGGGCAUCAUUCUUUCUCUUUCAACUCGGAUUUGAUGAUGAACUAGGAACACCUUUUCUGAACCUGAAACAUCACUCAAACUCUAGCAAAGAUAAGACACAUUUGCAUUGGGAUCAAUCCUUGACUUCAUCAAGUUUGAUCACCAAUGUCUCAAGCUUUAUAGCAUUAGAUAGAAUCAAGACAAUGUCAAGUUCUUAUCUAUGCAAGCAACCAUUCUCUAAAUACUAAGCAAGACCUUAUCAGAUUCAAGUCAAAGUAUUUAGGCACUUUUAAACACUCCUUAAUAUGCAACUUAGACUUUAAUCUAAAUGCAACAAUACAAGGCAGUAUGCAUUAAUCUUAAUCAGUUUCUAACUCAUAACAGCAAGCAUGAUAAUAUAAUCUAUCAUCUUAACAAGACAAUUUUAAUUUAGAACUGACAUUAAGCAUUUAACCAUUUUCAAUCUUAUUAAUGUCAAACCUUGAUUAAUAACUUAUCAAGUUUGAUUCCUACUAUCACAAGCAAUGCAACAGAUAGACACAAGGCAUUAUCAAGUUCUAUUCUUUGCAAGCUAACUCUCUAAGUACAAGCAGGAUCCUAACAGAUUCAAGACAAGUUACUUAGGCACUCUUAAGAGCUUCUUUACUCAGCACUUAGACAUGAAUCUAAUGCUUCAAUGUCAGACAGCCAGCGGAUUCAUUUCAUGAAAAACAAUCAGGUUUAGACGUCUACUAACUUCCUGACAAGCAUCAUUAUAUCUGGGACUACACAGUUCUCAGCAUUACUUCAAUCAAUUUCAGUUCAUGAACACAUGAUUCAAACAAUAAGUUUUAAUAUCUUAGCAAACUCAUGGCUGAACUAGAGCAAUCACUUUAUUCUUCAAAACACUAAACAAGCCUUUAAAGCAUCUUGGGAUAUACACAGCAUAUCAAUCACCACACCACCUCAACAUUUCUAUACUCAAGCUUUUUAUUAAAGAGGGAAAGAGAUCCAGCUUACAGCCAAGGAACUUUUACUAGUUCCUUGAAUCUCCAUGGUUCAUGGCCAGAUGUUGAGCUCUUGGUGUCGUAUAACACCCCUUCUUCUUUCAUGAACCAUCCUCUUGAACCCACCAUGGCUGAGACACCUCCUUUUCUCCCUGUCAAGUCGCCAAAACCAGUCCCAAGUAGAAAGCUGUCACCUUUCUUCUUGAACCACCACUAAGACUCAAGGAUCUAGCUCUUGUAUAGUGUUGUCAAACCACUUCAAGGCUUUGUUCUUCAGGGUCUCCUUUCUUCAGGUCGAGCUUGAUAGGUCAGGAUAGAGCACAUACAGCUUCUCAAGCACCUCGGAUGUGUUUAUCUUCCUCCUGAAGAUGAACAAACGUUGGCUGGACCAAAGAGCUUCUUCUUUGCUUCAAACAGCCAUGGAAGUGGGCUUGAGCUUUGCGGAAGUUAGAUACCAGGUUCUGAUGAACCUGGCUCUGAUACCAUGAGAUUUUUAUAAGGAUUCACUCAAGGUGUGUGUGAGAAAGUGUUUAGGAGAGUUUAUGUUAACAGAUUUGAGACUUAGGAGUAUGGGGAGAGAUUUAGAGUAUGAAAGAGACUAGGUAACAAGAUUAAAGAGACUGAGAGACUUAGAGAAUAGAUUAGAGACUUAGUAUCAAGAACAGACUUUCAUAGAACAUGAAGGAGAAGGGUUUCCCCCCUUACUCACUUAAGAGAUUACAAAACGUCCAUACAUCAGUUUAUAUAAGCUUUCACAAUCUGAAACUCAUAAACCUAAAUCUGAUGGCUCUAAAGGACUUUGGGAAAUGAAUGGCUUGGAUGUAUCUUUGGAUCUGGUCAAGGCUGGCUGAAUGGUGAUUGGUUCUCCCUUGCUGGCGCCUGAUUGCUUUACUUAAAGCUCCAUGUAUCUUCCCUCUCCUUUGGCCAGAUACAUGAUCUCUUCUUUGCCUUUACUUUACAGCUCACGCCAGCUUGCACAUUUGAAUUUGAAUAGGCUGUAUGGAUAAGAAACCUUAUCCAUAAACGGUCAAGAGAGCACAACACCUUCCUGGUUACUUCCUAAAGCAUCUCGGACAGUAUAUGCCUUUAGGAUCAUUGCUCUCUUUCCCGUUUGUUCCCUAAGCCUUCUUCAUGCCUUGCAUCACAAGUCUUCAUCAGCUGAGUGUACGGAUUAGGGUUGCAUUUCUCACAUUGCGCCCUAUCUUUGCACAACUCCAAAACAUCCCAAGACUUGAUAGAAACUCUUUUGGAUCGACCAUGUCCUUACCGGGCCGUACCAUCCGUACAGCCGGCCGUACAUGGCCGUCCCUAUCUUUGCACCAUCAACCUUUCUCUCCUAAACUCAUCCAAAGGCUACUCCACUUCUAUCUGAACUCUUCUUAGCCAUUGUCCCAACCUUGUAUCAGCUUCUCAUCACUUUCUGAAGCUUCAUAGAACUCUUCUCAAGAUCUUCAAGAGCUUGCCCUAUUUAUGCACAAGCUCCAUUCUUCUCUUCAGUUCAACAAACCCUAUCCCUAGCUUCUCCAACAGCACCCUCAGUGUUGUUGCUCUAUCAGAUGGGGCUUGAGACAAAUCCUUCAGAUUUUCCCACUCCUUUUCUUCAUAAUACCCUUUUGAUUCAAUAAACUUCACUUCUCUAGAUACCAUCACUCUCCUUGCUUCAGGAUCAUAGCACUUGUAUUCCUUCUGAGUGAUAGAGUAUCCAAUGAACAUAGCCUUAGUACUCUUUGCCUCCAGCUUGUUUCUCUGUUCUCCUGGAGUCAUGACGUAGCAUACACACCCAAAUACUCGUAGGUGAUCAAUAAAAGGCUUGCUCUUAUUCAGCACCUCAAAUGGAGACAGAUUCUUCAGUAUCUUGGUUGGGACCCGGUUGAUGAGAUAGCAAGCAGUCUGUACAGCAUCUCCCCAAAAACGUUUUGGGACAUUUGCAUGAAACAUCAUCGACCUAGCAACCUCCAUCAAGUGCCUAUUCUUCCUCUCAGCUACACCAUUCUGCUGUGGUGUGUAGGGACAACUGGUCUGAUGCACAAUCCCAUGCUUGGCUAGAUGACUCUUAAAGGCAUUGCUGAUGUAUUCACCCCCGUUGUCUGAUCUCAGUACCUUCACAGUGGCAUUGUAUUGAUUAGAUACAUAUGCUUGGAAGUUCAUAAAAGCUUCUAGCACCCUAUCUUUAGAUGGAAGCAAUGUGAGCCAUGUAUACUUAGACUUCUCAUCAAUGAAUGUCACAAAGUAUUUAUGGCUGUCUCUAGACAUGCAUGGAGCGGUCCACACAUCCGAGUGAACUAGAUCAAAGCAAUGCUCAUAAGUAGUCUCAGAUGUUGGGAAAACAGUCCUACAAUGCUUUCCUAAUAUGCAUGCUUCACAAUUCAAGUGAUUGAAUGACAUAUUAGGGAUUAUCAAUUCAAUGGCACGAGCAUGAGGAUGUCCUAAUCUAGCAUGCCAAGUAAUACUAUCAAUCUUCUCAGCAGUACUACUCAAGCAAAUAGAAUCAAAGGGAUUAGAGGUCUUAGCUAAGUUGAGGUGGUAUAGCUGAUUCUUGCUGUCUCCUCUGCCAAUGACUCUCCCAGUCUUCAAAUCUUGAAACUCUACUUCAUCAGGUCUGAAUACUACUUGACAAUCAAGAUCAAUGGUAGCUUUCUUCACAGAUAAUAGAUUUGAAGUGAACUGAGGCAUGUAGAAGGCAGCCGUGUCCUUCUCAAACAGUUUUAGCUUUCCCACUCCUUCUAUUGGGAUCAUGACACCAUUAGCUAUCAUAACACUCCCUGUUGCAGCCUUGAUCUCACUUAUAAGCCUCCUAUCACUGAUCAUAUGAUGACUUGCUCCAGAAUCAAUCACAAUGGGUUUAGAAGCUCCGGAUUGUAUAGCAUGCUUCCUGCUUGCUGCUAAGGCUUGUACUUGUUCCAUGAACACUCUCCAUUCCUUCCUGGUGAUGCGAUCAUCAGCUCCACUCCCUUUCUCCUGCUCUUUUAACACCCCACUGUCUUCUACUGAUUCCCCCAUGUAGGCUGAGUAAGAACACUCUCCCACAACUCUCUUCCUACCCUUUCCUAUGUUGAUAGAAGCUUUGGAUAGCAUUCUGCACCUUCUCUUCUUCCGGAAGCCCUCACUCCUACUCCCGGUUAGCCUCCAUGAGCUCUCACUCCUACUCAUGGUUAGCUUCUGGAAGCUCUCACUCCUACUCCAAGUUGGCUUCCAUGAGCUCUCACUCCUACUCAUGGUUAGCCUCUCAUCAUCUCUCAUUAUCUCAUACGCCCUUCUUAUAAGCACACAGACCUCUUCCAUUUCCGGAAGCUGUUCCCCUCUUAGAACCAUCUCCACCAGCCACCCAUAUGAUGACUCCAUGCUCGCCAAGAGCUUCAAGACUGUCGCUUGCUCUUGUGUAGUAUCCCCAUCCACAUGGGAUCUCAACCCUUGUAGUUCAACCCACAAAUGUUGUAGCUUCCUCACAUGGUUAUUAAACCCUUCUCUUCCUGGUUUAACUUCACUAAUCACCUUCUUGACUUCAUACACUCUCCUAAGACUGAUCUUGUUCUCAUAAACAUCUUCAAUCUUCUCAAGCAGUGUACUUUCUUCAAGACUAAAGCAAUCUCCACUUGUUUCUCUUGCUGUCUGAUCUUUCUCACCAGCUUUACCCUUCAAAGACUCUUCCUUCUCAUGGUUUCUCCAAACUCCACACCUUUUCAGAGUUGUUUUCAUUUGUGAGAACCACCCCCACUCAUUCCCUCUCUCUUUCUUCUCUUCACGCCUUGUUGUACCAGAUUGAAGCAGCUCCAUUUUCUUUAGCCUAGAUCUUCCCUCAAAUGCUUCUAAUCUCUCACGCCAAGCUUAACCACAAGCUAGACACCUCUUCUGACCUUGUCAAACACCUAAAGGGACUCCCUUGAAGCUGACUCUCCAAAAGAAACACCAACAGACACAAACUUGACUUUUAAAGGAUCUAGCUCUUGAAAAAAUCUCAAGAACUCUCAAGAACACUCAAGAACACUAAAGAACAUUUGGAAAAACGAAAUCACUCUCUCCUUUUAAAGGAACCUGGCUCUGAUACCAUAUUAGAUUUUGUGAUUUAAAGAGUGAUUAAGUUUAAUCUGAGAAUUAAAGAGAUUGGAGAUUAAGAACAAGAGAGAGAGAGACUCAAAACUCCAUUAGAUUGAUUAAUGAGAGAGUUUACAACAUAUAUAGAUAAGAGAUACACUAAAACGUCCAGGUUCAGUCUAGCUAGGAUAAGAAGCAUGUGUAGUCAAAGAUGCUUGAUUUAAACUAGCCAAUAAGGUUCCUCACAUGCUUGGGUAUCUUGCUUUAACUUUCCAGCUAGUGCCAGCCUGUCUAAAGCUCUCUAGCAUUGACCAGACCUUAUCCAAACUCCUCCUUGCUUAUCCAGACUCCUCCUGGCGUGUUUCACUCUCCAAAUGGAUGCAAGGUAACUUCCAAAGCCUUUUAACUUAGUUACCACAGUAACAAUUAAGUUACUGUGGUAAAUCUCCAAAGUUACUGUCUGCUCCAACUCUCUUCCUCUAUCCAUGUAUCAACUCUUCAUCACUUCAUCUCAACACUUUAUUCUCUCAUCUCAACAGUGGAGAAUCACCAGGAAGUUGAAUAAAUCUCAUAGGAGUUGGCAUGAAGAAGUUAUCCCACUUUCAAAUCAGGUGAUUACAGUUUCCCAGUUUGGGAAUAGCACAACUUCUUCGUCGUUCCAAUCAAACCAGGAUGAAUCACUUUGUGAAAAGCUUGAUUUGGAUACAUAAAGUGGUGGAGAAUCACCAGGAAGUUGAAUAAAUCUCAUAGGAGUUGGCAUGAAGAAGUUAUCCCACUUUCAAAUCAGGUGAUUCCAGUUUCCCAGUUUGGGAAUUGCACAGCUUCUUCAUCGUUCUAAUCAAAACAGGAUGAACCACUUUGUAAGAAGCUUGAUUUGGAUACAUAAAGUGGUGGACAAUCACCAGGAAGUUGAAUAAAUCUCAUAGGAGUUGGCAUGAAGAAGUUAUCCCACUUUCAAAUAACAUGAUUCCAGUUUCCCAGUUUGGGAAUAACACAGCUUCUUCGUCGUUCCAAUCAAACCAGGAUGAAUCACUUUGUGAAAAGCUUGAUUUGGAUACAAAAAGUGGUGGAGAAUCACCAAGAAGUUUAAUAAAUCUAAUAGAAGUUGGGAUGAAGAAGUUAUCUCACUUUCAAAUCAGGUGAUUCCAGUUUCCCAGUUUGGGAAUAGCACAGCUUCUUCGUCGUUCCAAUCAAACCAGAAUGAAUCACUUUGUGAAAAGCUUGAUUUGGAUACAUAAAGUGGUGGAGAAUCACCAGGAAGUUGAAUAAAUCUCAUAGGAGUUGGCAUAAAGAAGUUAUCCCACUUUCAAAUCAGGUGAUUCCAGCUUUCAAGUUUGGGAAUAGCACAGAUUCUUCAUCCUUCCAAUCAAACCAGGUUGAAUCACUUUGUGAAAAGCUUGAUUUGGAUACAUAAAGUGGUGGAGAAUCACCAGGAAGUUGAAUAAAUCUCAUAGGAGUUGGCACGAAGAAGUUAUCCCACUUUCAAAUCAGGUGAUUCCAGCUUUCAAGUUUGGGAAUAGCAUAGCUUCUUCAUCGUUCCAAUCAAACCAGGAUGAAUCACUUUGUGAAAAGCUUGAUUUGGAUACAAAAAGUGGUGGAGAAUCACCAGGCAGUUUAAUAAACCCAUAGGAGUUGGGAUGAAGAAGUUAUCCCAUUUUCAAAUAACGUGAUUCCAGUUUUCCAGUUUGGGAAUAGCACAGCUUGUUCGUCGUUUCAUCAAACCAGGAUGAAUCACUUUGUAAGAAGCUUGAUUUUGAUACAUAAAGUGCUGGAGAAUCACCAGGAAGUUGAAUAAAUCUCAUAGGAGUUGGCAAGAAGAAGUUAUCCCACUUUCAAAUCAGGUGAUUCCAGUUUCCCAGUUUGGGAAUAGCACAGCUUCUUCAUCGUUCCAAUCAAACCAGGAUGAAUCACUUUGUGAAAAGCUUGAUUUGGAUACAAAGAGUGGUGGAGAAUCACCAGGAAGUUUAAUAAAUCUCAUAGGAGUUGGGAUGAAGAAGUUAUCCCACUUUCAAAUCAGGUGAUUCCAGCUUUCAAGUUUGGGAAUAGCACAGCUUCUUCAUCGUUCCAAUCAAACCAGGAUGAAUCACUUUGUGAAAAGCUUGAUUUGGAUACAAAAAGUGGUGGAGAAUCACCAGGAAGUUUAAUAAACCCAUAGGAGUUGGGAUGCAGAAGUUAUCUCACUUUCAAAUAACGUGAUUCCAGUUUCUCAGUUUGGGAAUAGCACAGCUUCUUCGUCGUUCCAAUCAAACCAGGAUGAAUCACUUUGUAAGAAGCUUGAUUUAGAUACAUAAAGUGGUGGAGAAUCACCAGGAAGUUGAAUAAAUCUCAUAGGAGUUGGCAGGAAGAAGUUAUCCCACUUUCAAAUCAGGUGAUUCCAGUUUCCCAGUUUGGGAAUAGCACAGCUUGUUCGUCGUUCCAAUCAAACGAGGAUGAAUCACUUUGUAAGAAGCUUGAUUUGGAUACAUAAAGUGGUGGAGAAUCACCAAGACUAGGACAGGAGAUCAACUACUGGAUUCAGCUUCUGCACUAGAGCAUGACACCACCUUCUGUUUCUUACUCUUCCAAGUCACCAACUUGCCUCCAAUGAAUGUGCAAUAGCCGGUUGUUGAUCUUCUGUCAGCUCUAUCACCUGCUGCACAGCUUCUUCGUCGUUCCAAUCAAACCAGGAUGAAUCACUUUGUGAAAAGCUUAAUUUGGAUACAAAAAGUGGUGGAGAAUCACCAGGAAUUUUAAUAAAUCUCAUAGGAGUUGGGAUGAAGAAGUUAUCCCACUUUCAAAUCAGGUGAUUCCAGUUUCCUAGUUUGGGAAAAGCACAGCUUCUUCGUCGUUCUAAUCAAAACAGGAUGAAUCACUUUGUAAGAAGCUUGAUUUGGAUACCUAAAGUGGUGGAGAAUCACCAGGAAGUUGAAUAAAUCUCAUAGGAGUUGGCAUGAAGAAGUUAUCCCACUUUCAAAUCAGGUGAUUCCAGUUUCCCAGUUUGGGAAUAGCACAGCUUCUUCGUCGUUCUAAUCAAACCAGGAUGAAUCACUUUGUAAGAAUCUUGAUUUGGAUACAUAAAGUAGUGGAGAAUCACCAGGAAGUUGAAUAAAUCUCAUAGGAGUUGGCAUGAAGAAGUUAUCCCAUUUUCAAAUCAGGUGAUUCCAGUUUCCCAGUUUGGGAAUAGCACAGCUUCUUCGUCGUUCCAUUCAAACCAGGAUGAAUCACUGAAAGAUUAAGAGAAUGAAAUGAUUUAGAGAAGAUUAAGGAACAGAAUGAGAGAUUAUGAAGAGAUUAGACU
rnacentral:lncRNA from 1 species